AAUAUCUCUUAAAUGGGUGCAGUUUAAAAGAAAAAACAGUGUAACAAGAGGAGAAAUGAUGCAACAAGAGGAGAAACGGUGCAACAAGAGGAGAAACAAUGCAACUUUCAUUUAAAGAGUGUAAUUUUUAUCUUAGUGGGUGCAGUUUAUAUACUGAAAGAGUGCAAUAAGAAGAGAGAACAGUGUAAAUAUCUUUCAAGAGUGUAAUUUUAUUUAAAAAGUGUAAUUUUUUAUUUUAAGCUGCAGUUUACAUCUUAAGUCGUGCAACUUGUAAUUUUUUUUGUAGUUAACGAUACAAUUUCAUCUCAUCGUUUUUUAUAUAAUUUUUAUCUUUAUUUUUUUUUCUGUUUUUUUUUUUGUUACCCUCUCUGUCAAUAGCCACGGUGUCGGUGACGACGCCCUAAAGACCCCCACUCCAAGGCUGCAGCGCCGCAGUGAUCUCCACGUGUCGGCGUGGUGCGCGUGUCGCGAAGAUGCAUCGUCGUCGGAGGCAGCAGAGAAGGAGGGAGAAGGAGAGACGGGAAGGGCAGGGAAGAGCGAGAGAGGCGCCGUCGUCGGAAACUGUGGAGGAGAGUCAGAGAAGAAAAGAAAAGAAAAAUGCAAAAAAAAAAAAAGUCACAGCCCGACCUUAGGGGGAUCGCAGGCGAGGAAGGUGGGGGCGCCGGCGGCGACGCCGCUCUGUCUUCGCCGCUCUCUGGGAAGAGAGAAAAAAAAGAACGAGAGAAAAAAGAGAAAAGAAAAAGGUAUAAGGGCACCUCCGCUCCGUCUUCGCCGCUCUUUGGGAAGAAAAAGAAAAAAGAACGAGAGAAAAAAAGAGGAGAGAGAAAGAGGAAAGAGAAAAAGGUAUAAGGGUAUUUUGGUCAGUUUGCUGAAAAAGCGGACCGAAUCUGCAAAAGCCAAAAAGAUGGCCCGAUUUUGCAAAAGCCCAAAAUAAGUAGAUUUUUUAUGCAAAUUGGCCUAUUUUCAAUGACAAAAUUUUAAAUUGGUGAUCGACUGUGUUUGAAUUGAUUAAAAAUAUUAAAAAAUAAUUUUUUUGAUUUUUUGAUAUUAUUUACCUGGCAAUUGAAAGGAUUCAAAGUCAAAUACCGAAAAUAAAAAUAUCACAAAAAAUAGGCAGGAACUAAAAUUUUAAAUUAGAGACAAUGAUCUGGCUAUAGAUAAUAUAAAAUUUUUUCUAUUAAAACUUUAACCUAUUUGGAUAUUCUAUACUGUUAAACUUGCAAAUGACACAAAUCGGUCAGUAAAAGUUAUCAGUUUAGAACUAUUUCUAUCAUUGGAUAAAUAAUAUCAACUGUAAAAUUUAUUUUUUAAAUACUUCAAAUACAAUAGAUUAAGUCUAGUAGAGCCGAUCAUCUAUUCGAAAAUCUCAUCAUCAAAAAUGACUUAAGAGCACAAAAGCAUACGUGCUCCUGAGAGCACAUCAGCCCUAUAUAUGGGUAAAAUAAAUUGCUUGCCUUGGAUUUGAAUAUUUGUUGCAUAAAUCGAAAAUUUUAAGAUUUUAUGCUGCAUGGUAGCUGCAUACUUAGAAUAGAGAAUAAACAUGGGAGAGAAAUAUUGAGAAAUCAAAAACUUAUGGCACUUUUAUUAUUGGAAACAUCAAAAGGGAGAUAUAUAGAAGUAAUAUAUAGCAUUGCUCAUAUAUAAAGAGAGAAUUGCUUUUAUACACUUGGAAAUUUUUUGAUUUUCUUAUUUAUUUUUUUUACAAGGUUAAUAUUAAAAAUACUUUUUAAAGUUUCAAAUUUUUUCAAAAUAUGCCCUUAGAAUUAAAUUUUACCAGUGAACGGUUAAAUAUUCGUCAUAUCUAUAAAAUUACUAUUUUACCCAUUCAAAUAUAUCAUUCUACUGUCACCAAAUUUUCUUAUUUGUCCUUAAGUUAGGGAUAAAAAAAAUAAUUUGACUUUUUACCCUUUCAAAUAUAUCCUUCUACUAUGACCAAUUUUUUUUAUUUGUCCUUAGGUUAGAGACAAAAUAGGUAUUUUUACUAUUUUUUAAUUAUGGCAAAAAUUUAACUCAGGUUUAACUUGGACUUAACGGGCGCUAACAGCAAAGAUAUAUUUGAAUAAAGCAUAAAUAUACGAGGGGAAUAUUUGAAAUAAAAAAGUAGAAGAAAAUAAGAUAUUUCAGAAUUUUAAGGGGUAUAUAUGCAAUUAUAUCUAUAUUAAAAUAUUGAAAAAUCUAAAAAUUGUUACAAUUUUAACAUUGGAAAUAUAAGAGUAGAUAGAUUUUCCAAACAAAAUCAUAUGAUGGCAAAAAUACUAAAAAAUAAUUUACAGAAAUUUAAUGAAGGGACUUGCCAAGGGACUAUCAAACACAUUUCAAACCUAUACGGCACAUGAGCACUGCAGAAAACCGAAUUUUUCAUAAAUAAAAAUAAACGUCAACGAUCGUAGAAAACAAAUACGGUAAUAACAAAGCAAUUAUUUGAAUUAGAGAAUAUAAAAUUUACGUGGUUUGACUGACCAUGUGUCGAACUACGUCCUCAAUGUGUUAUGCGAUUAAUUCACGAUACAAAAGUACAAAAAAUAAAUAGGAUUAUAAGAAUCUCUCUUUCAAAAGGUCUCUAUGCUUAACUCUCAACUAGGAUAUCUACAAUUAAGUUCUAAAAUCAAAAAAAGAAUUACCAGUGUUUAUGUCCCUAAAACUCUAAUUCUAAUAGGGAACGAUCUCUGCUGCUCUUUCGAGCUUCCGAUUCACCUCUAGUGGGAUCUCCUCUUAAAAACCCUUUCUAAAGUAUUUCUAAACCAUCCCUCAUCUCAAAAUAUAUGAUUAAAUCAAGUGAGAGUCAGAUCCAACUUAUCCAGUCCACCACAGAGUUAAAUAUCAAUAUUUGAAUUAGAGUAUCGGUAUUGAAACACCCCUAACAUUUAACGUAUCAAUACCCCAAAUUUCAUACAAGUACUCAAUACAAAAUCUAAUUUUUACAGUUUCAAAUUUUAAGAAACUUCUUAGUGCCAGUACUUCAACUUUUAGUUCCCUUAUUUAACAUCAAGAAAUCCCAAUUCAUCGACUUUUCACCAUAAUAUUAAUUCGGAACACAACUUUACAUAAUUCAAUAUUUAUUUUAUAUCUUUUCUUCCAAACCUUCUGGGAGUCGGUUAAGGACGAUAUCUUUCGGGUUUUCAUUGAACUCCAAGAAGAUAAACUCUUCACUGGACCGACCGACUAUUCCUUCGUGUGCCUCAUCCCUAAAAUAGAAAGAGCACGUAAAACCAAAGACUUCCGCCCCAUUAGCCUCAUCAAUGGAAUCCAAAAAAUUAUUUCCAAAGUAUUGGCCAAUAGACUCGCACUUGCCCUGCCAUUUCUCAAGACCGACUAUUGGCCGAUUCGUUCGUCACUGCAAGUGAAUUAAUAAACCGGUGUUCAAAAACUGAGAGAGAAUGUGCAAGCAUCAAGGUAGACUUCGAGAAAGCAUUCGACAAUGUCAGAUGGUCUUUUCUAAAAAGCGUACUGCAUUGGCUAGGUUUUACUGAUAAAUGGUGGGGUUGGAUCGAACAAUGUAUCUGCAACCCUAAAGUGGCCGUUCUAGUGAACGGCACCCCGACUAACUGGAUGAAAGCUAGGAAGGGGCUAAGACAAGGCGACCCUCUCUCUCCCUACCUCUUCUUACUGGUAGCCGACAGUCUAGCCAGGUUAUCAGAGGCUGCGAGAGGAAACAACCUAUUACGCGGUAUCGGACCAUCGGACGAUUGCCAGACGGUGCUUAUUCAAUAUGCCGACAACACAAUCUUUUUCUGCGAGCCAAGAAAACGCUACAUGCAGAACUUGCAGUUCAUUUAGAAACUCUUCACAUGGGCUUCGGGUCUGAAAAUCAACUUGGACAAAUCGGAAUUCUACUAUAUUGGGUCUAACCCAUGCAAAGCUGAGAAACUAGCCAACAUCUUAGGCUGUAAAGUUGGAAAGCUACUUUUUCGCUACCUGGGGUUGCCGCUACACAAUAAGCAACUCCGCAAGGAGGACUGGGCCUUGGUUAUCAAUCGUAUAGAAGCGAGAAUAGAAGGAUGGAAAGCCAAAUUACUCUCCCUUGGGGGACGGCUUACGCUCGUCAACUCGGUUCUCUCUAACCUACCACUAUUCUACUUUUCAAUCUUCAAAGCACCACAGUGGGUAAUAUAUCGAAUUGAAGCCUUAAGACGAGCAUUCUUUUGGAAGGGUGCUCCAAAAUCGCUGGCGGUGCCUGUCUUGUCAACUGGAAAGCCACCUGUAAAAGCAAGAGAGAAGGCGGACUAGGCAUCAAAGACAUGGCAUCCAUGAAUACGGCUCUCUUGACCAAAUGGUGGUGGCGCUUCUUCAACGAACCAAACCUGCACUGGUGCAAACUGAUCAGAUCCCUCUACUACGUCAGAAGAAAGCAACUACAUGAGGGUAGAGCUUUCGCCCCUUACUCGCAGUGGUGGAAAGGAGUGGUACGAUGCCGCGAAAUUUUCAUCUGCGGUGUAACCUACGACCUAGGGGAUGGCCAGAACAUCAGGAUGUGGUGCGAUAUCUGGUUUGGAGAAACCCCCCUCCGGACCCUCUUUCCAGAUAUUUUCAUGGCUAUCACGAACAAGGAGGCCAUAAUAUCUCAGUGCUGGAACGCAAAUGGAUGGAGAUGGCGUUUCAUCUGCCGCGGCUUCCCGAUAGUCAAUUCUGCUGAACGACGCACACGGCUGACGACAUUAAAAAACUUGCUUCUACACCGCUCCCCUUGCAACAGACCAGACUCGUAUAAAUGGAGGUGGACAGCCAAUCAAACUUUCACAGUCAAAUCUCUCUACCAGUUCCUUACUUACGCGGGACAGCGAACCCCGUUGAACCGGCAUACUUGGCGUUUAAGAAUUCCGCUCAAAAUGAAAGUCUUCAUUUGGCUAUUACUUCGGAAGAGACUACUCACUUCUGAUAGACUGCUCCAGCGAGGCAUGCCCGUUGACUAACAAUGCCCUUUCUGCGCUAUAUCAACGGAGAGUUGCAACCACAUUUUCAGUAACUGUGUCUACGUCCGAUACCUAUUUCUUAGUGUGGAUGGACUGGAUAUACCAAGUGACACCCUUGGAGACGUUCGCAGUCUUUGGUCCAAUUUAGCUGCCUCUCCGCUCAAAUCGUCAAGAAUGCAAGGACUAACACUUCUAGCUGCGAUCUGGUGGGUGGUCUGGAGGGAUAGAAACAACUCCGUUUUUCAGACAAUUCCACCUGAUGCGACUCGCUCUCUCGAACGUGUUAAACUCCUUUUGACCAGCUGGACCAUGCUGAACUGAAGCGACACUUGUCUUAUCCCUCUUUCUCUAACCUUCCCCUCACACCUCCUUUUUCUUUUUUUUGGCCUUUUGUCUGUUAUUUUCUGUAUUUUCGAAGGCCUAAGCUGCUUCCAUCUCUGUACGCUUAGUUAAUUUUACUUAAUGAAUGAAGCUGGUAGCUUGCUACCUUAUUUCUCAAAAAAAAAUAAAUUACUAAGUACUAAAUCCACAACCUAAAAAGAUUACACGAUUAUAACCUUUAAUCUAAGGAUUGUAAUCCUUUCUCUUAAUUUUUUUUUAAAAGUUGGUAAUAAAAAAAUAGAUUGAUAGGACUAACUUACUCUUGGGUAAAGGAGUUGUAAAAUUCUAACCUAGAUAUCUUAUAAUAGGGUUGUAAUCAACUGUCUCUAGCAUAGUGACAAAGGACAUAAUAGUUAGCGUUCAAAAUUUCAAAAUUCAAAGUCUAAUUAUUUUGUGUUUUUAAUUAAAUUUAUUUUAAAAAAUAAAUAAUAACAAAAAAUUUGUGGACAUUACUACCCAUCCAAAUUAAAAUAUGCCUCCGCCCCUUCCAAGCAUAGAGCGAAAAAGAAAUAAAAUUCUACUUGGAAGAAAAUGUUUCUUGUACACCUAAUAAGGAAUGUGUAGAUCUUACAUCUGGAUUGAUAAAAAUCGAAUCAGUUUUUAGUAGAAAUAAAAAAAAAAAAAAUUUGACAUGACAAAUAAAGUAUUAAUAGUCUUUGGAAGAAGCAAGUGUAAAAUAUGCACCCUUAUUUUGAAAUGUAUCAGUAAUAUUGCUAAAAAAAAAAAUGUGACAAAUAACAAAUGAUAGUUCUUGAAGGGAAAAAAGGUGUAAAUACCGACCGUCCCUAGUGCAAGUGGCAAAGGGCUUGAUGGUUGGUAUUCGAGGUUCCAAGUUCGAAUUCUAAUUGAUUCACAUUUCCAGCUAAAUUUAUUUCUAAAUAAAAUAAAUAAAACGGGUAGCAUGCUACCUAUCUUUCUCAAAAAAAAAAAAAAGUAAAUUAUACAUCUUACUUUAAAGUGUACUAAUAAUAUUGAUAAAAAAAUAAUAAUGACCUAGUAAACUACACCUUACAAUAAACAGUUGAAUUUCCAACCACCUUGUGUGGUACUUUAAAUUGAUUACAUUAAUCUAUUGAGGUGUUUUGUAUCAUAUAUUUCAAUACAUUAAUAACAUUGCUGGUCCGGACUCCGGACUCCGGGUAGAGACACUCAACACUCAAAAUAUAAUUCUACAAAAUAUAUUUUUUGUUUCAUCAUAAUACGAUGUUCGAAUGUUCGAUGCGUUGGCGUAGAGAUCAGCUUUAUUAUGUAUGUUCUUCGGGAACAGCACACCCACCACAUCCUCCACCAUAUAAGCCAUCGCGGCCUCGCACUUUUCCCCUCAUCUCCCUCCCUCCUCUUUACCACCACUCUCACUCUCUCUUCAAAACAGAGUUGUAUUUAUUAUUAUUAUUAUUAUUAUUAUUAGUACUAUUAAUAUUAUUUUGGUUUUUGCGAAGUUAACAAUUCGGUGAAGAUCCGGUAGUUAAUCCAACGCUCCGUGCGCGCCGCGCUUCUGCAGGCCGACGAACCCCCUUUUCGUCGGCCGCGUGCUCAGAGACGACAAACGUUUCCCUCCGAAAAAAAAAAAUAAAAAAAAAAACAUAAGAAUAUCGACAAUUCAACAGCACUCAAAAUCCUCUAAUCCCUGUUUCUUGUCGUUACCUAACACUUGUUUUAUCCUGCAAGUGUAUAUAUAAAUAUGUAUUCACAUCCAAACUUUUUAUUACUCCUGAUCGGUAAACGUUCUCCACCGAUCGUUCUCUCUAAUAACUAAAGACCCAAAUAAAACCUUCGAUCACUCUGUUAUUAUUAUUAUUAUUAUUAUUAUUAUUAUUUUGAAUUUAAGCCAUGUGCCAUCCGAAGAAGGCCACGUCAUCACCAAACGAGCAACUGCUGACUGCGCCGAUUAUCGGCAAGCUGAAGCCGUCGCCCGCGGCGGCGGCUUUCGCGGAGGCGGGGGCCAUUCUGGGGCAGGCGGUUCCGAUGAUCCUGACGGGGCUGAUUUUGUAUCUGCGGUCGAUGAUCUCCAUGCUCUUCUUGGGCCGGCUGGGCGGGCUGGCCCUCGCGGGCGGGUCCCUGGCCAUCGGCUUCGCGAACAUCACCGGCUACUCCGUGCUCUCCGGGCUGGCCAUGGGCAUGGAGCCCAUCUGCGGGCAGGCCUUCGGCGCCGGCCGCCACUCGAUGCUGGGCCUCGCCAUGCAGCGCACCACUCUUCUCCUGCUCUGCUCCUGCCUCCCCGUCGCGGCGCUCUGGGCGUACAUGCGGCCGCUCCUCCUGCUGUGCGGGCAGGACGAGGCCAUCUCCGCCGCGGCCCAGACCUACAUUCUCUACUCCCUCCCGGACCUCGUCCUGCAGUCCUUCCUCCACCCGCUCCGCAUUUACCUCCGCGCGCAGUCCGUCAACCUGCCGCUCACCUUCUGCGCCGCCGCCGCCAUCGUCCUCCACUUCCCCGUCAACUACCUGCUCGUCUCCGUCCUCCGCCUCGGCAUCAGGGGCGUCGCGCUCGCCUCCGUCUGCGCCAACCUCAACCUCGUCCUGCUGCUCCUCGCCUACGUCCACCUCUCCGGCGUGCACAAGCGCACGGGGGGGUUCGCGCUCUCCGCGGAGAGCUUCAGAGGGUGGGGCCCGCUCCUCGCGCUGUCGCUGCCCAGCGCCGCGAGCGUCUGCCUGGAAUGGUGGUGGUACGAGAUCAUGAUCCUGCUCUGCGGCCUGCUCGCGGACCCGCAGGCCACGGUCGCGUCGAUGGGGAUCCUCAUCCAGACCACGUCGCUCAUCUACAUAUUCCCCUCGUCGCUCAGCUUCGGCGUGUCCACGCGCGUCGCCAACGAGCUCGGCGCCAACCGGCCCCACCGCGCGCGCCGCGCCGCCAACGUCGGGCUCGCGUGCGGCUUCGCGCUGGGCUUCGCGGCGCUGAGCUUCGCCGUGUCGGUGCGGCGCGUGUGGGCGCGCAUGUUCACGGCCGACGCGGCGAUACUGCAGCUCACCGCGUCGGCGCUGCCGAUUCUGGGGUUGUGCGAGCUCGGCAACUGCCCGCAGACCACCGGGUGCGGCGUCCUCCGCGGCAGCGCGCGGCCCAAGGUCGGCGCCAACGUCAACCUGGGGUCGUUCUACGCGGUGGGAAUGCCGGUCGCCGUGGGGCUCGCCUUCUGGGCGGGGCUCGACUUCCGGGGGCUGUGGCUCGGCCUGCUCUCGGCGCAGGCCGCCUGCGUCGUGCUCAUGCUCGCCGUCAUCAAAACCACCGACUGGGACGCGCAGGCCGACCGCGCGCAGGCGCUCACGGGGGCCGCCAGUGACAGCGGCGGCGCCGCAUUUCUGGGAAGCGAUGAGAAAGAGGCCCUGCUGCAGCCGAAGCCUGCCGCAGUCGGAGGCGACGAGAAAACUAGCUUGGUGAUUACCAUACAAACUGACCCAUCAAGUUAAAGCUUUCCCCCAAUUGAUUAACUAAAAUUUGAAUCACUUUUAGAGUUAAACCGGUGCCUUACAUACAAAAUCUUUUCAGAUACUGCUGAUGAGUCAGCACGAGAAAGCAUUACCCUUAUUUUUUUUGUGCAUUCUAAAUUCUCUAAUUUCUUUGGUACUCGUUUUUUACAUUUUUAUUGUUAUUUUUAUUUUUACAAAUUGUUGCACUUCCCUUGUAACAAGUUGUGGGUAAUUACAAUGAAAACGAGAAAGAGUUACCACGAGGUUCGUUUUACACACACACACAAAAAAAAAAAAAAAAAAAGUCUAAAUUGUCAUUUUAGUAAAGUGCUUACAUUGACCAGCUAGUUAGGGGGAAGAGGAGGAGAACGAGGGCAAUUUGUAUUACAUUACGACCGGAUUGGGUGCGUUUUGUGCUCUGUUCGUCUCUUCGGGGCGCUCGCCGUCUACAAAAGCCGGCAGCGUGAAGAAUCCGUCGCCGGCUUUCGAAGUCGUCCCCGGUCUUCCCACAGCGCCCCCCCCGUUUGAGACAAGUCGGCUUCAACGUAGUGGGUGGAGAUCUGCAAACGACCCCCUCCUUCAUUGGCUAUUUCGAAAUGGGUCCCUCAAUUUUACACACUUUUUUAGAUUCUCCCUAAUUUAUUCCUGUGGUAUUUAGAAAAGCACAUGUCAACAUUGAAAUUAAUAAUAUUAGACCGAUUAAUUGUUCCUAAUGCAAGUGCUAAAAAAUUUGAUGGAUGAUGUUUAAAGUUCUUAAAUUUAAAAUUUAGUUACUUCAUAUUUUCACAUAUAUUGAUUUUAAUUAAUAAUAUUAGGAUUUUGGUGGCAUUCGGACUGUAUGAGCUUAAAUUUUUAAAUAAUAAUAUAUUCAACGCUAUAGAAUAGGUUUUGUCAAAAACUAAGUUACGACAUCCGUGGUAUUUAUAUUCUAUCUCAUCCAAACACCUACUGGGAUUUGUAGUUUUAUAUAAUAAACACAAGUAUUGGGACUACACACAUCAAUCUCUAGAGUUGAGGUUUGCAACCUCUCUAGAUUAUAUUUUACAUAAUUCCAAAUUGUUUUUUUCUUUUUUCUUUUUCUUUUUUUUCUUUUUUGCAAUAUAUGGAGGCUGCAACUUGAUGAACUAAAUUCUUUCGAAAAGUGUAUCCAAACUCUCUAUAACUUGAAAAUCAAAAUUGUGUACAAAGAUUUCAUAGAGUUUCCAAACAACCAUUGCCUGUUUUUUUUUUUUUCAAUUCGAACCUCUUUCCCUUCUAAUUUUUUAAAUUUAAUAUAUUUUAACUAACUAAAUAAAAAAAUUAUUUAAUUUAAUAACUCUAUUCACUAUUAGAUGUUAAUUUUUGUAAUUUUAUUCGAUAAGAAAUUAUUAAAAUUGUUAGGCUAAAUUACAGAAAACUUUACUGCCAAUACCUAUUUUUUUACUUUUCUCCCCUAUCAUUUAAAAAUAUAUACUUUACUCUCUUGAAAAAUAAAAAAUGUUCACAGGGGAUACGAUGUUAACUGUCAUGAUAAAAUGAUCAAAUUGUCCCUCACCAUCUUCGUCUUUUUCCCAAUCUAGCUUAGCCAUCGUCUCUCCUCUUCCGUUCUUCACGCCUCACUCAACCUUAGCUCCGACUCCAUUUUCUCACUACAACAAAAAGAAUAUUUAGUGGCGACUUUUUGGUGGCGACAAGCACUGUCGCCACCAAUGUAUUUAAUAUGGUGGCGACAUUUAUUUGUCGCCGCCGAUUCAUAGGAAAUGGCGGCGACAUUUUUUCGUCGCCGCCGAUUCUUGGGAAAUGGCGGCGACAUUUAUUUGUCGCCGCCGAUUCUUAGGAAAUGGUGGCGACAUUUAUUUGUCGCCGCCGUUGCGUAGAAAGUGGUGGCGACAAAGUGUCGCCGCGAUAUAUCACUACAAGAAAAAGUAAAUUUGGCGGCGACUUUUUCGUGGCGACAACAGUUGUCGCCACGAAUGUAGAAAAUAUGGUGGCGACAUAUAAAUGUCGCCGCCAAUACACAAACAAUGGUGACGACAAAUAAAUGUCGCCGCCAAUACACAAACAAUGGUGGCGACAAAUAUACGUCGCCGCCAAUAUUUUAAUAAAUGUAGCGCGGAGCAUUUCCAGACAUCCCGCCCUUAAUUCCCUCCGCCUUUUUGGAUCAGAAAGUUAUCUUCUUUCAUCUCCCUCUCAAUUUCUCUCUUUCGCCUCCUCCUCUCCGCCCACCCUCUCUCUCUCUCUCUCUCUCUCUCCACCUCAUCCGCAUCCGCGCCGCCUCCUCCAGCCUCUCCCUCCACCUCCCUAGCCGCAGCGCCAUCAACUGCUUCAAGAGCGCACGCAUGAACCGCAUCAUGCGUGCGUAGAGACCCCCGUCCGCGGCGUGCUCUAGGGCCGGAACUCGGCCUCGCUCCGUCUCCGCCUCGGGGGUAGAAGCAACCGCUUCGCUCUGGAUGCUCCCGCCUCUUGCGGCAGCAGGAGGCGCCGCGACUACCUAAACCGCCUCAACUGCUGCCUCAGCUCCUACCGCGCCCACCUCCGCUCCUAAUCUCCGGAGGUAGCAGCGAGCUGGUACCGAUCUCUCGCUUUUGCUAACCUUUAAUCCCAAAAUCGUGCUACUUCUCCCUUUCUCUCCUACUACUCUCGCAUGCUUCUGUCUCUCUCUCUCUCUCUCUCUCUGUCUUCGUACGCUCUCAUCAUCCUCUCUUUUCUCCUCUUUCAUCUGCUAAAACUUAAUUCCAAUCGUUUUCGCUCUCAUAAGCCAUGGUCGAGACGGAUGCGGAUGGAGGCCUCUAAUCCUCGCUCCACCGUCGCAGCAUCUCUCGAUUCCGCAGUCUACGUCGCCAAUCCAUCAGCGCGCGGAGGACGACGGCACGUUUCUCACGCCUCGUAGGUUCGCUUCGCAAACGAGAUUGGGGCUCCGCACUCCGCGCUCGCUCCGCGGCUCAAGGCCGGGAUCUACGUGCCGCGCCUGCCCCAGAGACGCAGUGCGUACUACGCCAAGUAGCAGCGAGAACUUCAGUCAACUAACGGCGACGCCGGCGUGAUCCUCACCUCCUCUCCGCCUCCUCGCCGCGCCUACUCCACACUGCACCUGGUUCUCACAAGUCCCCGUCCCCCCCACCCAAAACUACUAACCUACAACGCAGACGCCUAAUUCUUUCCCCUCAACUUUUUUUUUGAUCAUUCUUUUGUUGCGUGCUUUUGUUUUUUAUUAGUACCUUCGCUACGUACGAAUAGCUGUGCGGAAGCAAGAGAUUUAUGGGGCUGAAGCUUCAGCGCAAGUGCGUUAGGUCGGCGGCCUCCAUACACGUCACUACACAGGUACCUGUUUGAUGAAAGUUCCUGGUGUUACAAGUUUUUUUUUCUUGGUUUCUUUAACUAAGAUAAAAUUAGUUGUUUUUUUUUUCAAAAAAAGUAAGUGCGGAAUUGAUGCUGAACAAUUGUGGGCUUUGUUUCGGACGCAACUUUAAUGCAUGUUUUUUGAAGUUUUAUUUUGCUUUGCGUAUCGUUGACAUUUUUAAUGCAGUUAGCAAUUCUCGUACAUUUACCCUGAAACACGCGAUUCAAAUCUCCGACCUCAUAAUUUGGAUGCGCAGGAUGCAUGGUUUGCGCCUUAAAAAUAAUGGUAAUAAAUUGUUGCAUUUGCUAAUCAAACUAUAAAGUCCGUGACAAAUUUUAUUUGUUUUAUUUUAGCUUACAAAUUUUAAAAUAUUACGAUAAAUUCUGUAACAUAUAUUAGUUGACUAAUAUUUAAUAUAUAAAUCAAUGCGCAGAAAUAAUGUAAUAGUUGACUAAUACUAUAUAGUGACGUUACAUUCCUUUACAUUACCUAAGGGGGGAAUCUAUGUCGAUUCGGUCACCGAAGGGGGCGCGCAAAUGAGGUUUAAGAGUUGUCCUUCGUAGGGAGUCUCGCGACGUUCUCAGGAGACACAGUGAAGCUUUUGCAUCUAUUCUUGCACUCAAGGUAUUUUUAGCAUGUAAUGUGAUUGUUAACUUCCAAUAAAUUAUGGUGAUUUCUUUGGAUAUGUACUGCUUUUUUUUUGGUUUAGUGUGAUUAAUCACCUCUUCUAAUAGUUGCUUUACCCUUAUAAAGUUGUUCAGAUAGCAUUUCAUUUUUUCUUUUCCUGUGUACUUGGACAUGGCAACUCUGUCAUAAAGUGACUUUUUUUACUAAUUUAGUUUUUUCUGUUACUGAGCCAUGUUGCAAUGUCAUACAUUGGUUCGAUGAUGUUCAAUUUCAACAUAAAAUUGCAGCUUUUGUGCCUUUCUUUCUUGCUCAUUAAUUGAAGAAGAUCUGCCAUUCAUUGUCUAUUGAUUAAUUAUUUUAACCAAUGUGCAGGUAGCUGAGUGGAGGUUUGCUAAGGUAAUUAACCUAACUACCUAGUAGCUUGAUGCUUUAAUGGUAGAGUUGAGUGUGAUUUCGGGUUCUUUGUACCCAGCUUAUGUCAGGAGAGUUCUAUCAGCUAUAGAAGCAGGAUUUUGAUGUGGUCUUUCAACCAUAAUCUAGGGGAAGAGUGAAAUUGGAACUUGGAAAAGGUAAUUAGUGAAUUGGUUGCCUUAUGUUGAUGUUACAAUAAGCUUAUUAAUGAAGGAAUGAAGCUGUUUUUGGUGUAUGCUGCAGCAGCUUGGAGAUUCACGUUGUGCUGAAUAUCUUGACUUUGUGAAUGGUUUGAAUGAAUUUCAAUCAGCAAGAAGCAGAGUUACAAGUAGGGAAUCUAAAUAAGUGAGAUUUUAACCUCAAUUAUGUGAUUACAUAAGUGUAAUAAUGCAGUUUUGGGUGCUUGUUCACAGCAGGAUGUACACACCUUAUAACUGUGAUUUGGGGCAACUUUUGAAGCUGGUUAAGGUGCUUUAACUCGUGGUGAAGGGGAAUUUAAGUUAAAUCCUAAAUUGGGUAUGAUUCUACCUAGAUUUAACGCUUAUGUGAGAUUCUUUUUGCAAGUUGACAUCAAGCAUCUAACUGCAUUUCCUAGCAUCCAUGGUGUUUUGCAAGUUAACGUCACUAUAAAGCUUAUAUCUUUAGUGCUAUCUAGCAUCCAUAAUUAAUGAUCCUAGUUCUUCAAUUUGAAUGUAUAAUUUAAAUCAGUGUUUUGCCUCUGCUUCAAGAGAAAACAGGUCCUGACAAUCCUAGUGGUGCAUUUCCUUGUUUGUUGUAAAUUUUUAUGUGAAAUGCAAUUAGGUUUGCAGCUAAAAGAUAGGUUUCUAAUGAUGCAGGGGAUUCAGCUAUCAUGGGCAUUGUAGAUAUUGAUAAUGACAAAGCCAAUCCUCAAAUGUGCAGCCUUUAUGCAUCGGAGAUAUAUACAAAUCUGUGUGCUACAGAGGUAUACAUGGUGUAUUUCUCUAGACAUCAUAGUAUCUGGGUACUAACUUCAUUGUCAUUAAUUUUCUAGGACAUUGGAGGAGGGUCUGCAGAAACUUUCAGCGAUAUCUUGGAUAUGCAAGGUAGCGUGGACUUCCCUGAAAUCUCAAAUGGCAUUUGUUAAGUGAUUUCUUUUUCAUUCAGGCAUUCUUUUAAAAAUUUCAAAGGCCUUUGCUUUAUUAUUCUAGAACAAAGUAGAAGAUCAACUGAUGAAGAUUCAGGAGCUUUGGAACAAGAAGUUACAGAGUAUGUCCUUGAUGAAAAUUCAGUUCAUUUAACUUGAUGUGUAUUAAAUGUUUGGAUUGGCUCAACUAAAUAACUAAACUCCCUUUUUAUGCGUCAUUGGCUGCAGGAAGUAGUGCCAUAAAUAUAAUCACUACAACAAAACUGCUUUUUAGUGGCUGAUUAUGUGAAAGUAAGUUAUCAAAAUUUUUUUAUUGAUUUCCAUAAGCUAUUCUAAACAUUUGUACUAUAAAAUAGUAAGCUGUUUUUGUACAUUUCUGAGAUAAGUGGCAGGCUAUUGAGGAGAACAUCUUGAAGAUGAGAUCUUCACGACUGCUUACUAUUAUCGUAGUAACUAAAAGUCUAUAAUUUGUCCUCCAUUAUCCAGUUACUGAUGUUCGCAUGCAGAAUCAUCUCACCUGAGAUAAGUAAUUUGUGCAUUCUAGGUUCACUUGAAAAAUAUUAUCUCUGUAGACUUCCUUUGCUGAAAAAUCUUUAUAUAUAAUAUGCUUAUUCACCAUACGAUAACUUUUAAAAGGAAUAAAAACUGAUUGCUAAGCCAACUACUGGCACUUAUUGAUAUCUGCUAAGCCAACUAUCGGUUGUUAGAAAAACUAUAUGAUUGGUAAGAGGUGGUUGGUAUUAGGUCAGGAUCAAUGUGGCGCCAUGUCUCUUAAUAAGUUCUACCAUGAGCCUAGGAAGUUAUAAAUAUCUGCUAUAUUAUGCAUAAGGUGUAGUUGAAAUAAUAUGUCUUCUUAUACGCAUGCACAGAAAGCUUUGUUAUUUGCUGAUUGAAUGCUCUGGUCUUUUAAAAAAAGCAUACGUCAAAAGCUAAGUAUUGAUAAUUUGAAAAGACUGAGAUUGUGUUUUGUUGCUGUCAGUUACUUAGGGUUCAUCUUCCUGGAGAUUUCAAGCUACCAAGUGGCAAUAUCUUAAGGAUUGAUGAUGCUAGGUAACAUCAUGCUAUUUGAUCUCUAGAAACUUGCUGAACUGGUAAACUAGUUUCUUUGAUAGUGGUCUUGCUUUCACACUCUUUUCUCAGUUACAGGUUAUACUUGGCAAAUAAAAACAGGUUAUACUUGGCACAUAAAGUAUAUAAUCCAAUUAAUAUUUAGACUAAAGAUGGAGCGAAACCAUCUCAGGCACACAUAUUCAUAGAAACUCAUAAGCCGCGUAAAGAUGGAAGGCCAAUUGACAAUGAGUCACUUCGAAAAGUUGUAAGUUUUUUUUUUAAUUAAUUAAAUUUCACCUAAAAAAAGUAACUCCUCUGUGUGAGAAGAUCUACUUCUUGUCUCACCUGCUGGCUCUUGUUUGUGCCCUUUAAAUUUGAGUUGAGAAUGAUAUGGUUAAUUUUGUAUUAUCUAUUCCUAGGUUAUCAGUAGGAUUCUUAUUUGUGAAAAAUAGGCCCUCCCACUUUCUUUCUUCUCUUAUAUUCUUUAUAUUUCUAUGCAAUGCUAUAUGGCCAUUGGCUUAAUCAAUUGGAGUCUCGGAGAAAAAUAAAAACACCUUGCUAAAUUUUGUCGAGCUUUUGCUAUUGCGGUAAGCAGAUUCAACUUCUAAGCUUGAUAAUCAAGUUCUACUUUUUGUCUCACCUGCUUAGUGAAAGAUUAUCAGUCACUUAUUAACUCCAUUGCAGGAGAUCAACCAUGCAAGAGCUGGCGGAUUACGGGUAGAGCUUGUAAGUAAUAGAGGUAAGUAAGGUUCAUUAAAUAUAUGAUGCUCUAAUUGAUUUAUCUUAAAACUAAAUCCUUUAACUGAUAUUAGUAGCUUUAUUUUGAACAUCUUUAUGUUCGUGAAUAAAUAACCAAUGAUCAGUGACAAGCGACUUUGUAUUUUUAUCGUUCUUGUCGUUUUAUUCCAGAUUGGAUGCACUUAUCAACCAACUGCUGAUUAUGUAUAUAUUUGACCUCUUCUAAAAAACUCUCGAUUUAUCUUGUAGGUUUGAAGCUGGAGAUCCGAAUACUCCAUCAAACAUUGAAACUGUGAUUUAUCGUAAAUCAUAGAUGUUUAACGUCAUUAGAAUUUAUUAUUUUUUGGCUGGAAUUCAAACAAGCAUUUUGUAGUUGAAACUCAUGUAUGAAAUUUAUUUUUAAUAUUGAAACUGUGAUGUAUUCAAUCAAGUUUAAGAAUUUAACAUAUUUUGAAAACUUUACAUUUGAUAGCAUGUGGAAAUGACAAAAACACUAUUAUUGUAUUUUGUUUUUUGGUUGUAUUGGGUGUAUUAGGUGACAAUGCAAUGAUACUUUGACAUUUAAAGUUUGAUUCGGUCUUUCUUAUUUGCCUUAUAAGAUUAUUUUUGUUCUUCUUUACAUUUAAAGUUUGAUUCAGUCUUAUUUAUGUGGAUUAAUUUUAUGAUUAAAUACUUAUAGAGAUUCAAUUAGAUUUAAUAUAUAUUGGUUCUAAGGUGUUUGAGCCAUAGUGUUUAGGUUUAAUUUUGUUUUGAGAGGAUUAAAUUUAAAUUAAAGGUUAAAAUUUAAUAACGAGAAAUUUUUAUAAUUAUAGGUUAUUUUUAUGCAAUUUAUAUUAAAUCAAUAAUAUCUAUUACUACCAAUUAUUUUUUUAAAAAAAUUUUCGAUCAGAAAAAUAGUGGCGACAAUAGUCGCCACCUUAUAACUAGCCCGAUUAGCUAAUUAUCUAAUUUUUAGUGGCGACAAAUUGUCGCCACCAAAUAUUUCGCGGCGACAUCAUGUCACCAUUAAUUCUCUAAUUUUUCGCGGCGACAGUUUGUCGCCGCUAAUUAUCUAACUUUUAGCGGCGACACAUUGUCGCCACCAAAUAGUUUUACCGACGGGAUUUUAGGCGGCGGGAUGCGGCGACGAAUUGUCGCCGCCAAAACACUUUUCGUGGCGACAAUUUUGGCUAUGGUGGCGACAUUUGUCGCCACUAAAUCUCGUACCUGUUGUAGUGUCUCUACGUGCUCCCCCACUCCUCUUGUACCCUCGUCGUCCUUCCAUUUCAGCGACGGUAGGGAAAAGAUUGGGGUGGGCAUGGACGCAGAGGUGAGCAAGGGCGAGGGCGAGACGGCGAAGGAACGUGAGAGCAUGUGUGUGGGCGCGGAUGGAGAGAUGGACGAGGACGAGACAGCGGAGAAGGGCGAGAUGGCAGAGUAGGAUGAGGCAACGUAGGCCGCGAGGAAGAAGGCAGGGGAGGAGGCUGAGGGUAUUUUUGGUAUCGUUUGGUUCGGGUAUAAGUAAGAAUUGACUAAUCUAGGGUUAAAUACAAAUUCAGGUAUAAGCAAGAACUAGACCAAUUUUGUGUUUGGAUAAAAAUUGGUUGUUCUCGGGACUAAGAAAAAUAACGUUUGGUUAGAUAAAAUGUAAAAGAAGAAUAAUGGGUAGUUAUAAAUAGAAAAAUAAUAUUAUCCCUCUCGUUAUAUUUGAAUUUGAAUUUUUAAAUUUUUUAUUUUUAUUUUUAAAUUUAAAAUUUUAACUUUUAAAUUUUAAAAUUUGAAAUUAAACUCUAAACUUUUAAAUUUCAAAUUUUUAAAUUUAAAUUUUAACUUUUAAAUUUUAAAUUUUAAAAUUUAAAUCAAAUUUUAAUUUAAAAAAUAUAAAAUAUUAAAUUAAAAUUUAAAAUUAUAAACUUUAAUUUUGAAAUUACAAAUUAUAAAUUUUUAAAAUUUUCUUUAAAAAAAAGGGUGGAAAUAGCUUGUUCCCACCCAACCUUAGGGUGGGAAUAAGCUAUUCGAGGUAGGGUGGGAGGGUGGGAACAAGCUAUUCCCACCCUUAGGUAUAGUGUUUGGGGAACAAGGUGGGAAUAAUCCCUUAUCCCCACCCUUGUUCCCCAACCAAACAGGCUUUUGGAUAUAAAAAAUAUAUAAUAAUAGAAGUUUCAAAAGGGCAAAGUAUAGGUUUUUAAAUAAAAGAAAGAAAUGAAAAAGCGGGUAUUGAUAAAAAAGUUUUCUGUAACUUGACCAAAUUGUUAAUUAAAGUGUUUGUAAUAAUUUUUUUUUUUUUGAGAGAUAGGUAGCACGCUACCCGCUUCGUUUAUUUUAUUUAGAAAUAAACUUAGCUGGAAAUAUGAAUCAACUAGGAUUCGAACUUAGGUCUUGGGUACCAACCACCAAGCCCUUUGCCACUUGCUCUGGAGAUAGUCGGUAAAGUGUUUGUAAUUUUAGUCAACUUUAUUAUAAUUGAUUAAGACUACUCAUCUUCGAGAUUCAAAAAAUUAGAAAACGUGCCAGCCAAUUAAGAAAGAGCACUAGAACAUGGUAAACUUUAAUUCUUCCCAUGUGUUUAGCUUAUUUUUACUUUGUCACGCUAACUAUUUCGUAGUUUAACAUUUUUUUAUUUUUUCAUCGUGUGAUUCAAAAUGUUACACUUAAUUAUUCCAUGAUUGCUAAAAAUUUUUACUUAUCCUAUUUGAUAGAAGAUACUUUCAGUAAAAAUAGAGAUAAAAUUAUAGAUAGUUUAAGUAUAACUUUUCGAACCACAUAAUGACAAAAUAAAAAAUAAGCUAAACCACACAAAGGGCAAAUUGAAGCCACCCUUAAGAAAAUACAAAGUUGGGGGUUGAUUUCAAAACAUUCUAAAGACGAGGGAUCCUUAUACAAUUUUUACCGUCUCGUUUCGGUACUUUUAGUAGCAUUUUUCUCUAAGAUAAGACGAGAAAGUAUAAAUCUCACACGUGUUUUCCAGAUGUACAAGUAGCAUUUUCUCUUCUAUUAACCCAAGCGGCCCGCUGAACGUGGCGGGGCCCAAUAAUUUGAAGCGCAUUCGUAGCCGUUGGAUGUGCCGUUUUGGCUCGUUGGGCUCGUCAACGAGCCCGCCUUAUUUUGGUCGCGUCCCCACGAUUUGAAGAUUCAAACUUGCUUGCUUACCAACUAGCAAACAGUGAAUCAGUGAUCACAUCCCCUCCUCCCAGUUUCAUAGGUGGAGGCAAAGCGCGCCAAGUAAACGAGAGGACACGAUCUCAGCCUAAUUAAGUGUCUGUUUGGUUCCGCUUUUUAUUUAGCAUUGAAAUUUUCUGCUGCUGCAUUGCUUCAGUAAAAGGGAGAAUGCUUUGAAUUCAAAGCUAUUAUGGAACGUUAUUUUGUCUUGUGACGGAGAGGACAGCUAGUGCUGCAAGGAACCCUAUCCCUAAUAGCCUUCACCUAUGAAAAAAUUAGUUCAAAUAGACUAGAAGUUCAUUUUAACACGUGUUAUUAUUUUCCGUAUUAAAAAGGAAAAUUUUUUCUUAUAUGUUCGAUUACUUAAGUAGAAAUCAGAGUUGAUUACAUACUCCUAUAUUGUAGUAUCAAAAUCAAGAGAUAUAUUCUAUGAGAAAAGAGAUUGCAUAGAUAUUUUUGGAAAAAAUUAAUCUUAAACUUAUCAUUUAUCACAUGCGGCGAUUAAAUUGAUCUUAAAGCAAUAGCGACGUAAAAUUAUUGUUUCAUUGUGAGGGCACCACUAAAGUAUGAUGUGCUGUUGUAGGUUAAGCGCGCAAGAUAAAUACUACUUGUACACACACUAAAAUUUAUAUCUAUUUUUGGUUAUACCACUAGUGUAGCACCGCGCACAAAUAUCAACUUUGCGGAGGCAUCUCUAUAAUUUUGUAUAUUUGCAAGGGUAUAAAUGUGAAAAGGUACAAACUCUCAAAAGAAGACAAAAAUGUCGGCAUGUUGGGGACUAAGCACGCAUAGGCCCAGGUGGAUUCACCUGUCAAUUGCCUCAUUAAAUAUCUAAGUCCGUGCUGAAUCUGCUGAUUCCACGGGACCAAAUUGCAAAUUGAUAAGAGUCAGAGCACAAACAUGUGAAACAAAAAAACAAUCCUUGAGCACCCCUGCAUGUCGCCCCAAAAAUAGAGGGUGUACAGCUUACACCAUCUUAUCCAAGGAUUAAUAAUUAGUCCUCAUUUUAUUCUUUUUAAUAAUAUAAAUUUAAAAAAUUCUUUAAAUUUUAAGAUAAGGGAAUACAUAUCAUAUGUCUUUUUUUCAAAGCGUGUUAGUAGUAUACAUCGCAUCUGCAUUCGUUUUUGGGUGGUUGGAGUGCACCCUCCCCUUGGGGAAAGUCACGAGGUGUAAUAAAUUUUGAGAAAAAGGGGUUGUAUGUGGUGACAGCAAUGGGCUCAGUACGGAUCAAAUCAAAUUUUAAAGAAAUCCAUUAAGGGAACAAACGGGUCGUUUCAGUUUUCUUUCUUUCAGCCCCAGAGGUGUGAUCAUGCGUUGUAUUCUCUACAAUAUUGAAUAUUGUAUUUUCCUUUUCACAUAGUAAAAUUUUCUUCCCCUUCGCCGGUGAUUUUUCCGGCAAAAACUUUUUUUCACGUAAAUUUUAAUGUUCUAUCUUUUUUUACUCCUUUGUGUAUUGUUUAUACUUUAUAUUAUGAUCGUCAUUUUCGUUUCUAUUUCUGCACUCAUCGUAACAAAUUCCUAUGUGUCCAAGGGCUUUCUGUUAAAUACAAAAUAGGAUAAAAAUACGUGAAAUUUAUCUGAGUUAUGAAGUUAUUCUAGUCAAACUAUCUAAUCUUUUAAAUUUUUAAUUUUACUAUUUAAUUUUUCAGUUACUUUCAGCCACUUGAUGAUUCCUCUAUUGUGAAACUUAGCCGUUUUGUUUUUUUUUUUAUAAUAAAAAACAAUCAUUUGAAUUAUAUGAAAUAUUCUUAUCACGCUGGAUAUUCUAAACGGCGCGUUCUAAUUUUAAAGUGGAUGAAUCAUCAAAGGCUCAAAUCAAACAUAUCAAAAGGUUGGAUAAUAAAACUAAAAUUUUAAAGAUGAGGAAUUUUUCAAUAAACCAUAAUUAUUGAAAUCUAAUUGUCAAUUACCGAAGAAUAUGAUUAGAUUUUACAUGAAAUAACCUGUUGGGCAUGCUAUCGAAUUGGAUUGGUCAAUAAGACAACAUUGAAAAAAAGUUCGUAGCAUAUGCCAAAUUUUUAGUGCCCUAUAAAUUUUAAAGUCUUUAUUUAAUUUUGUUAUUUACCAAAUUAUUAAUGCCUAAUCUGUUAAAUAUCCAACUCAAAAAAAAUAUAUUGAAUCUAAACUUGAGUCUUGAAUUUGGUAUAGUAAUGCAACAUUUUUAUUUUGAAAUUUAAAUUCAAUUUUAAAAUUGAAAUUUUAAAUCUGAACUAAAAGGUUUUUUUUUUAAUAUGUAUUUUCUAUUAAGAAAACUUGAAUUUGAUUCAGAAUUAAGCUUUGUAUAUUGUUUCCAAAUUAAAUUUCCAGUUUGGAUGUAAAUUGAGUUCCAAUUAUUGCUAUAGGUAUUUAAAAAGUUCAUAAUACCCUUUGUGGGAUAAGAUCAAUUAUAAGGAGUAUGUCUAAUUUACUUUCGAAAGUACGGAGUUCGUCAUAUUUGUAAGUUGUUUUCGAUGAUAGAAUGUUUGAUUCGGCGAUCGGCUCCGUUAGGUAUAAUUUACACUGUUGGAACUAUCUAAAAAUCAAAUUUCAAAAUUUUUCAACAUCAUUUACCAAGUGAUCAAAAAGUCUCCAAAAUAACUAUUUUAACGGUUAAUGUGGCACAUUUUAAAGUUAACGGUGUAGAACAAUCCAAAUUACAUAAAAAUUUAACAAAAAAAUUCUACUUAACAUCAAUAGCAAGAUCAAUGUUUCUGAUUUGAAAUUUGAGUCUUUUAUCACUAUUUUUUAUGAGAUUUUUUAUUUUCAACCGUUCAUUUUGAGGUUACUUAUUUAUUAGACAAAUAAAGUCAAAAAAUUAUAAAAUUUGAUUUAUAGAUAGUUCCAAUAACGUAAAUCAUGUCUAACAGAACCAAUUACCGAAUCAAAUGUUCUAUCAUCGAAAAUAACUUACAAAUACGAAAACCUGCAUACUUUCGACAAUAUUGGAGCCUAGCUCUAAUUAUGAGUAUUAAGGACCAAAACACCCUACAAAUGCCAUAAAACUUUUUAAAUGGGUAAUUAGCGACCGGUACCUAUACCUCAAUUGCAUAAUCAAAUUAUAUCUCAACUAUUUAUUUAGAAAAAUAAGCGGCGAGAAUUACAUAUAACUUAUGAAUUGGGAACCUAAGCGUUUCUGGGCUGUCACGUGGCGGGCAUGGGCGCGACCCGCGUGAGGGGAGCUGGCGGGGCUCACGGAUGUCCCUGCACGCGGUCCACGGGGCAGGCGGCUCAUGGUGGACCGGCUGAGGGAGGGGGGUAGUGGACCCCGCUUGAUGGAGAGGGGGCCACUCCUUUCUCUGUCACUUUUUUGAACUUUUAAAAAAACUUAAUUAUAGUGUUUUUUAUAAAAAUAAAUUAUAUAUAUCUAAAUAAUUAUAAAAUUAAAAUUAAUAUUUAAUACAUACAAUCUAAAAUAUUUAAAAAUUAGGUAUAAAUAAUUAUAUAUUCUAAAGUUUUAUUAUAAUUAAUAUACAAACUUAUGAAUUUACAAUUUGACCCCAACCGGACUGAUUUUAUCCAAUUCAAUCAAUUUUUUUAUUAUAAAAAUUUAAAUUAUAUAAUUAUAUAUUUUAAAGUUUUCGCGCUAUUUUUUCUUUAAGCAGUUUAGACUUGAAUAAAAUGUUAAAUUGAUUCUAUACAGAUGCAGAAUUUUUAUGUCCUUACAAUUUUUUAAAAUUUUAUUAAAUUAUUUAUAAUAAGAUUUUAUUAUAUAAAGUUAAAAAAAUAUCUGGCACAUCUCGCGGGCUUCCUUAACUAGUUUGUAUGAUACUUUAAAGCAUGGCUGUGUAAAGAUUAGAUAUUAGUAUAUAUUAAAAUAGGCAAUAGUUCAAUUAAGUUUUAAUAUUUGUUUUUAUGAAAACUUAAGAAUGUAUAAAAAAUAGAGUGUUGAAUAUAAAAUAGAAUGUCUUUUUUUUAAAAAAAGAAAUAGAUAGUAUAUUAUUCGCUUUAUUUAUUUUUUAAAAAAAUAAAUUUAUGUGUCACCGUUCUUUCUGAAAGGUUGCUUCUGGCGAUAUAUAGUGUAACACCCCAAUAAUCCCACAUCGGAUUAAAAAUUGAUUCUCUAAUUAGAAUAUGUGAGACAUACAUGCUAGUAAUAAUAACUGGGGUUAAGCAUUUUGAGCCGGUGAUUUGGAUUCGACGAGUUAUUGUUGCUGGCGGGUCGGGUCGUUAGAAUUGGUAUUAGAGCCGAAUACCGGCCGAAAGUGUGAGAGCUAAGUGCUAUGCGUACAAAAUGCUACACCAACUGAUUUGGUGCAAGCCACCUCUUGAACCCGUAUACGCACCCCAAUAGUUCCACAUCGGAUGGAAUACUGAUUCCGAUACGUUAGUAAUAAUAACUGGGUUUAAACAUUUUGGACCGGUGAUUUGGACCCAACGAGUUAUUGUUGCUUGCAGAUUGGAAUACUGAUUCCGAUACGUGAAUAAUGAUAACUGGGCUUAAAUAUUUUAAGCCGAUAAUUUGGGCCCAAUGAGCUAUUAUUGCUGGCGGGUUGGGUCGGAUCGUUGCAUAUAGAUCAUAUUUUUCGCACAUCUCUCGGGAAUGUUUUUACAUGUUGCAUCUUCUUUCAAAGUGCUUCUUCCGCGAGUCAACCUUUACUCUGAUUGGUUGGUUGUCACCUUUUUCUGGUCAACUAAUUGACAAUUUAACUCUUUUAUAUUUCUUUUUCUUUUUUCUUUUUUAAAGUUUUUUCUACCAGAAACGACUCGCUGCAUCUUUACGUUCUUAUAUUCUAUUGGCUUUAUUUUGACAUUGAUUCAAAAGAACAAAAAGAAAUCGUUUAGAAUAUAUUUAUAUAAGUUUCUUUAAUUUAAAACCUUUUCUUUUUUUUACUAAUUCUUAUUGUAGGGAGUCAUGAUCUCCUCGUAAUCAGAUCCGAGUCCUAAGUAAGUGGAAAUGAUAUCUUAUUUUAUUAUUUUAAUUAAUGAUAUCUUAUUUUAUUAUUUUAAUUACCUCUAGCUGAAUCAUAGGAUUGGUUUCUUAUACAAUGAUAAAAGAGCUAGACCAAAAUAAUAAUAAUAAUAGUAAAAUGCACCACGAUAUUUUUUAUUGUGGUGCUGAUAUAAGAGCACAAGAAAAGAUAUUGCUGCAAAGUUUAGAAAAUUGUAGAUUUGUCACGCGAAGGUUUUAAUUCUCAAACUUAUUUCGCUAAAUUUCCAAAAUGUUGUGCAAUUUUUCGCUGAUUUAAUUUUCACCGUUACGACCAUUGUGUCCUUAAAAUGAAUGUCCCUUGUAGAUUCUUUUGACAAUUUAGGAUUCAAGUAAAUAUAAUGAGAAAUAUAAUAUAUCAAAAAAAAAAGUUUAAUUUUAAAUAGGCAACCGAGACAAAUACGAAUAAACCUAGACAGCUUGUUUGGUUCAGUUAUAGAGUAACAUAUAUAUUGUUCGUUGAGGUGUUUUUUAAAUAGUGUUAUUUGAAGAAACAUUACAUUAAUAUUUUUUUAGGAGACUAUUAUUGCAGUAAAAUUAAAAAUUCUAAAUUAAAGCUUGUAAUUCCACAUCUCAAAAUUUAAUUUUCUCUUUUGCCGUAGCAAGAAAUCUCAAGUCUUUUUAAUAUAUCAAGAGUUAAAAGUAGGGUUAAACACGGCAUGGACGGCGAUUUCACUUAGUGUCUACCCCAGACAUUUUAAAAUGCUUAAAUUUUUAAAUUAACUGGAGGAAAUUAAAAGAGACUAUACGCUCGCGUAAGGAUUCGAACCUAAAACCUCCUACUUUGAUAUUAUACUGAAGAAAAAGAAAAAAAAAAAAAGUGAAACAAUGAUUUUUUCUCGAAAAUUAGACUUAAGCUGCCAAAGAAAUUUGUUUUAACAUUAUAUAUAUUGAGCUUGAUCUCUCUCAUGACCAAGCUCGAAACAUUUUCAAAAACUCAAGGCGGGACUUAUAUAGGUCCAAAACGUGGAUCUAAUUCGAGACCUGACCGUGUUCUAAUACUAUCUUAAAUAAUGUAAAAUAAUUGUUUAUCUCUGAAAACUUAGCCUUUGGAAGGAUAAUAUUUUUAAUAUCAUAUAUUCCACACACCAAUUAUGCCUCCUCGAUCUCCAGUUGCAGUGCGUAGGAGAGUAUAAGGUUGCUUUGGUUGUACUUGAUGAUCAUGUUCAUCCUCAUUAAUUAAUUUUAUGGCUAAUGUGAUCAAAAGUAGUAAAAUAAUAAUAAUAAUAAUAAAGAAUGCGUAGGUACGAAAAAAAUGCUCUCUCGCAACAAACUAGGGGUCUUUAAUUAAUUGCAAGCGCAUUGAUAUGGUCAAACAAUUUUUGGUAUCACUAACAUUUGAUUGGUUCUCUUCUUUUAACGAGCAAGAUAAAGGUUAACUAAGGCAUUAUUUUAAUCCGGAUUCGGCGAUUAGGGCUUAUAAUUAAAUGAACAGCGAUAACGUUAUAAAUUGUCGAUUCGUCAACGGCGCCGACUUGUUCAGAGACGAAGAGAAAACUACUGCGCAUGUCGGAGUUGAGCCCGAGCAUGCAGGAUCGUGUUGGUCGGCACCGUGCAUGCCUCUUAUCCUUAGCCCAUAAUAUAUUUAUUUAUAUAUAUAUAUAUAUAUAUUACGACAUCAGAAGACUCGUUCUAAACACCGUCAAGGUACGUAAUAGCUUGCUUAGUUUAGGCUGUGGUAAAGAUAAAUAUGGCAUUACAAGCAUGCACUAAUAAAAUGCAACAUAUGGAAAAGCUCUAAGUCCUAGGUCUUACUUUUUUAAAAAACUUUUUCCAUAUUGUACUUGUUCUGAGGUAUAAAUAUAACUCAAAGUAUAAACAUUUUAUAUGAAAUGAGAUGUACGAUUUAUAUGGAGGCGACUAAAUUACGCCUCAUUUGGGGUGGCAGCGUGCAUGUUGCGUGUAGCAUGAAAACACAAUUAAAAAAGUAUUAAUCUAUUUAUUAUAAUAAGUGAUAAUAUGUUAUGCAUGCGCAGUUUGCAAUAGUUCACUUAAAAUAUAAUUUUUAUGAUCCUACAUGAAAUUUUAAAAAAAAUUGUAUAUUUAACGAUUGCAGUUCUAAUUUAUUUUUUCCCAACAUUAAUAUUUGACAGCUGACUCUUCUAAGUUGCAAUUUACCAACACAAUUUUCACUCGCGUGAAACGGUACUUCAAAUUUGCUAAUAUAUCAGCAUAUACAUGUAAAAAAUGCAACUUAUUUAUGUACUCGACUCGAGUGUAUCAGCGUACGCCUGAGGCAAGCUUCAACUGAGCUAAACAUUACUUAAAUUUUGCUGAUAUACCGGCAUACACAAGUAAAAAAUGCGACUUGUUUAUAUGCUCAACUCAAGCGUACCAGCAACACCUUAGACGACCAGUACUUAAAAUUCGUGAUAUACCAGCAUAGACAUUUAAAAAAUGCGACUUAUUUAUGUACUCGACUACAAUGUAUCAGUAACACCUAAGGUAACAUUCGCUCGAGCUAAACAGUAAAGGCAACUUACACGCAUGCUUGACUCAAACGUAUAAGCUACACCUGAGACAAACUUCACACGAGCUAAAUAAUACUUAAAACCAGCUGAUAUGCUAGUAUACGCAUAUAAAAAAUGUGACCUAUUUGGGUUCUCGACUCAAACGUAUCAGCGACACCUGAGGUAAUCUUCACCUGAACUAAACAGUACAUAAAAUCCGUUGAUCAUAUAUCGCAUAUGCAUAUAACUAUGUCACUUAUUUGCGUGCUCGACUCAAACAUAUCAACGGCACCUGACGAAAACCAAAGGGACCUGCGCCCAUCAUAUGGCAUAUAGCAAUGCUUCAAAACGCAUACAACUGGAAAAAUAAAAAUAAAAAAAAUCAAGAAUCAAUCCUUGUGAAAGAAAUAAAAAUAAAAACAAGAAUAAUUUCGUUAACUUGUGGAGUUCUCCUCAACAUGUCGGGGUGAAGUGUGGGAUGGAGUUUGACUUUUUUGAUUAUUUCUGGGACUUUUUAGGAGUUGACCUCUUUUUUAAUAUUUAUAUAAACAUAUGUACUAAGUAUGUACAUCUGAUUCCGUAUUCAUGCAUGGUUUUGUAUAUCUCUUUUGAUACGUCAUAAGUAAAAUGUCAACUCGAGGCGUGCGCACAAUCCAAUAUAGCUGUGGCAUUGAAUUUUCCUUUUUUUUGUUUUUUUUGUUUUUUUUGAAGUAAGUGGUGAGGUGGAGAUUAGGGUGUACGGUAGCUUUUUUGCGUAUACAAUUCCUUAAAAUUAAAUAGAGAGUUUAAACUUUACUCUUGCUAUUUUUUUUACUUUUUAUUUAUGAUAAAGAAUACUUAAGUAAGGAUCCAUAUAUAAGUCUCAUUUUUAUGAAAUUAUAUUUACCGGUUUACGUUAUAUAUAACUUGGAGUUUAGUGUAUGCAGUUAAUUUCGAAACAUGGUUAUGGUAGAUUUUUAGAAUGUUCUCCCUAAUUAAAGUGUUUAAACUUCGUUUUCUUACUCCAUUUACAUAUGUUAUGACAUAAAAAAAGAAAUACAUUAAUUGUUUGCUUUCAAAAAAAGGAAGAUGAAACAUUAUAUUAUAUGGCGUUUUUUGGUGCAUGCAUGCGGUACAUAUCAAUUUGGUGAACACCAUUCAAGCAGUACAAUCAAUGGUAAAGUGAUUUUAAACUUUGUUCUCUGGCUCCAUCAUGUUUCUGAUCUAUGAGAAAUGUAUUUACAUGAUUAUACAUAUAUAUAAUUCUCAUUUUUACUAAAAAGAAUAAACAAUAUAUAUACUUGAUUCGAAAAAACAAAAAUAGUGCUCAUCAUUUGGUGAACUAUUUUAUCAAUCAAGCAGUGCAAUUGAUGAUAAAGUGAUUUUAAAUUUCGUUCUCUGGCUUCUUCAAUGUUUCUGGCAAACAUUGAAAUGCUUUUGCAUGAGGAUAUAAAAACCUCAAUUUUAUUAAAAAAAAAAAAUUAUUGGAAAAUAAAAAGAAAUAUAAUGCUUGUUUUCAGAACAAGAGUGAAAAAAAUAAUAACAUUGUUUUUUUUUAUUUUGCGGCGUAUAUAAUUUGCAUUUGGUGAAAUAGUACAUUAAUUCGAGGAAAGCAAUUCAUGGUAAAGCAAUUUCAGGAGAAUUUCAUGCUAUGCCUACAUGCAAAGCAUAUCUCCUUGACUUGCAUUGAUGAGCUGUAAAUGAACUCGAUCUAGAUGAUUAGUUUUUUUUAUAGAUAUAUAUAUGCCACAAAUUUCAUUCUCAAAUAGGCUGUUAAUUUCACUUGACUUUUAAAUGUUCACAGAUGUACAUGUACAAUUUUCAUUUGUGAUAGAUUUUUAAUAUACGUGCAUAUCGUGCACAUCUGAAAAGGAAUUAUAUUGCAUAAUUUCGAUUCAAAGAGUUGAAUAUUGAUCACGGAAUUCAUUUUCAUGUAUGCAUGCAAGACACGCCUGAAAUAAAAAUAAUUAAUUUUGAUGUAGUUUCAACGGAGUUGAAUUUCAAUGUUCAUGGUUUUUGUUUUGAUAGAUGCAUGAAACUACGCUUCAAAAUGCAAUUAAUGAUGUUACUAUGAUAGAGGUAUUAAUCAUGCAUGGUAUGUACAGAUUUUAUAAAAAAUUGUAUUACUAAUACAAUUUUUAUAUGACAAUAUGAACUUAAUCUUUAGAAUUAAUAGCUUAAUUCCAUUUGUUUUGUUUUGAUCAUGAAGCUGAUUUACGUACGGUGCAUGUAUACAGUGGCAUUUUCCGGGCCGGGCCUUCGAGAGCCUAGUCCAAGCCCGCCCAUUAAGUUCCGGCAAUCCACCCCAUGAUCAGGUUGAUUAAGACUAAUAACAUGUUAACUCAUCAUUUCAUGUGGUAUUUGAAAAGCACGAUAAGGGCUUGUUUGGUUCAAGGGUGGAAUUGGAAUGGAUAAUGGAAUGGGAAUGAAUUGGAAUGGUAAUUGGAAUGACCCACUCCCUCAAAACGUUUGGUUUAUUUGUGGAUUGGAAAUUGGAAUCAGUUAUUCACAUUUCAUUGUUUGGUUCGUAUAAAUUAAAAAAAUUAUAUGAUACUAUAAUACUAAUUUUACUCUCAAAUAUAAAUUUAUAUUAUUUAAAAUUUAUGAAAAAUAUAAUACUAUUCUCUAAUAAGUUUUUCAAAAAAAAUAUCAAAUUUAUUUUUAAAAACUUUUAUUGAUGUGGGUUAGGGAUANAUUUAAAAUUUAUGAAAAAUAUAAUACUAUUCUCUAAUAAGUUUUUCAAAAAAAAUAUCAAAUUUAUUUUUAAAAACUUUUAUUGAUGUGGGUUAGGGAUAGGGUUUUGAGAGAGGAUAGAGUUUUUUUUUUUUUGAUGAGAAAGGGGUGGAGAGAAGGAGGGUGAGAUGGUCACAUGGACUUCGAGAACUUAGUGGGCUUCCGGAAUGAAAUCUCAAUCCGAGCUAGAAGACCGGAAUCAAGUUGAAGGCUAAUGGGUCAUUCCCAUUCCAGUCCGGAAUAGAAAUCUCAAACCGAUUUAUGCGAUCCAAACAAACUUAACCGGAUUUGAUCAAACCGAUUUCCAUUCCAUAUCCAAAAUGGAUGAACCAAACAAGCCCUAAGAGUAUAGUUGCUAACGAGCCAAAUAUAAGCGUACUAGGACCGGCUCGUAUUUGCUUGCUUAUUAAACGAGCCGAAUACGAGCUGAUUCGUUAGAAUAUCAAGCUGAAAAAUUCAAUUCAUAUUCAACUUGUUUAUUAACGAGCCAAACACAAGCGAGCUCGCGAAUAAUAAGUUAGAUUGUCAGCUCUAUUAUUGAGUGAAAAGUUGCAAGAAAAUUAGAAUCUUAACCUAAAGACUAAAAUUUACAAAAUACAAGUUUCUUUACAUUUGGGUUGGCCUAAAAUUCAAAUAGUAGAAAUUUGUAUUAUAUACAUUUGAGAUAUAUCGAGUCAAACACGAGCAAGUUGACACCAGCUCGUAUUCGAAACGUUAAAUAUGCUGACUUCAGGCAUCUGACCAAACACGCUGCCGCUAGACUCUCUUGGGUUGAUUUCCAUCAUGAUUAACAAAUGACAUGGGCUUUAUCCGGCCCAAAUUCAUAUUCCCUGGGUUGGCAACGUUGGUCCAAUAUUUGGGACAAAUAUAUAUAUGUUUUUUUUUUUUUCUUAGAGAUAGGUAGCAUGUUAUCCGUUUCGUUUAUUUUAUUUAAAAAUAAACUUAGCUAAAAAUGUAAAUCAACUAGUAUUCGAAUUUGAAACCUCGGGUACCAACCACCAAACCCUUUACCACUUGCGUUAGGUAUGAUCGGUCACAAAUAUAUAUGUUAUAGACCCAACUUUAUUAAGAUAAUGGGCGAAAAGAGUUGCAUGGAAAGUAUUAUGUUCAGAUAUCAGAAUCCAAUUAUUACAACACCUUUAUAAAAAUAAGGGAAAACUUCAAAAACCCUCCAUGUAGUUUCGUAGUUUCUCACUUUGCUCCCUUGUGGUUUAAAAUGUAUCAAAUUGCCCUCCUGUGGUUUCGUUUUUAUCUUUUUGGUAGCUUUUUCGUUAAUAUUUCAUUAAAUUAUAUACAAAAAACUUCAGAUGCCAAUCUAGAUUUAUCAAAUAUUCACUUUAGUAUCCUUUAAAUUAAUUUUAUCACUGAUUUAAAAAAAAAAAAAUAAUGAAAUUGAUAAGAAAAAGAGAAAAAAGAAACCACAGGGGAGCAAAUUGAUACAUUUUAAGUCACUGGGGGGCAAAGUGAGAAACUACGAAACCAUAUGGAGGGUUUUUAAAGUUUUUCCUAACAAUAAUUUUUUUAAAAAAAUUUUACACUUUCUCAAAACACAAUUCUUUCUAUAAUUCCAAAUAAAGAUUUACCCAUUAUUGGGUUUUCUUUUUUUGACCUUUUGGUUUGACACCCAUGGACCAUCCUAACCGUAGGUCAACAACCUAAUAUCCUAUCAAGCAGAAAAUAAAAUUAUGGAGAUGUUUGGCCUAGAUUCUCAAAAAUAAUUUUAAAGUCAAAAGUUAUUUUUCUUUUAAUAGAGAGUUUGGUAAUCUGUUUUUUAAAUUUUGAUUCUAAUUUUUAAAAUCAGUUUUCUAAUUUUAGAGUCUCAAAAUUAGAAGCAGCUAAUACCUACUUUUUGAAAUCUGAUCCUGAUUUUAGACUCAAAGUUUAAAUUUAAUUCUAAAUUUCAUAUUCAAAUUUUAAAUUUAGAUUUAAAUUUUUAAUUUUUAAAUUUUUAAAUUUUGAAUUUUAAAUGCAAAAUUUAAAUUUAAUAAAAAAAUUAAAAUUCUGAUUCAAUUUUUGAAUUCAGAAUUUUAACUUUUUAAAGUCAAAUUCAAAAUUUAAAUUAAAAUUUUAAAAUUAAAUUUAAUUAAAAAAUUAUUAUUUGUAAAUAGCAAAAAAAUUUUGCCAAACAAUUUUAUAAAGUCACUCUAGAAAAAUCGUUUUUUUGAUAGACUCGUCCAAAUGCUCGACAGCUUUUAAUCAAAAUUAAUAUUUCAAAUCAAAAUUAAUUAUGUAAAAAUUAGUUUUUCAGAAUUAGGCCAAAUAACUCAUGAAACACAGAACUUAUUGUUCCGAAAAAUAGAUACUUGCAAACUGUUCUAAAUAAUGAUGGUCACAAGCUGAGGGCGGCAAUCCAGCUCGCUGUUCGUGAGCCAGCUCGUAUUUGAUUUGAAAUCAGCUCGAGAUCUAAUCGUUCGUUUAAUAAGCGAGCCGAACACGAGCUGUAGUCAGCUGGCUCAUGUUCAGCUCAAUAACAGCUUGAAUACAUAUAUUUUAUAUUAUCUAAUUUUAUAUAUUUUAUAUUUAUAUAUAAAGUUAAAUUAUAUAAAACAUCUAUGUCAAAACCCGAUUUUAAACACUUUGCCACAAUAUAAAAUAAAAAAUAGUCACAUGAAGGUACGGUGUAAACUGAAAUGACAAAAUGAUCAUUUUGCCUCUCACCAUUUUUGGCAACGGGAGAAAAGCCCGAGGGUAUUUUUGGCAUUAAAAAAUAUAUAAUAAUAUUUUAUAAACGGAAUCCUAACGGAUUACUAAUGGCUGGGAGUGAAGUGAAUAUUUUUUAUUUUACAAGGGGACAAAAUGAUAGGGGGCGAAAGUGAAAAAUCGGGUUUUGACAGGAAAUUGUUUUGUAAUUAGCCGUUAAUUUUUAGUCCAAUCUAAAUAUAAAGCCCAACUCAAUUAUAAAAAAGCUCAUUGAUUUGGAAAGUUUCAACUAGUAGAUUAAAAUCUAAUGAGUAAGAUCUCAUAAAUUUAUUUUUUAUAUAUAUUCUUUUUGUUUAACUUAUUGUUCGUGAGCUAGUUCAUGUUCAGCUUGUUAAUAAACAAGCUGACCACGAGUCAAACUUUUUGCCUCGAUACUUUAGGGCUUGUUUGUUUCAACGUAAAUAGACUUGGAGUGGAAGUGGACUUUGAGUUGAAAUGGAGUUGGGAUGAAAAUUAGUUCACUUCUGCUGUUUGUUUCUAACUGUAGAAGUACAGUUCUGCGAGUUCUGUUGUUUGUUUGGUAGGAAGUAGAUGACGUAAAAAGUAUAGCUCUCCACUCCCGGUAUACUUACAUCCAAAGUGAUAUCAUUAUCUAUUUUGUAACUUAUAGUGAAUAAUAAAUUAUAAUAAAUAAAAAUUAAUAUAAUUAUUUAUGUAUAUAAUUAUAUAUAUAUAAUUAUAAAAAAAAAUUUAAAAAAAUUAUAUUAUUUGUUUGCAUAUAAAUUAUGAUAAUGCAACAAAUAAAAUUCUAAAGUUAAAAAAUUAUUAACAUUUAACAAAUUUAUUUUUCAUCAUUUUCUAAAUAUACAAAUUAAAUAAAAAAUAUAUUAAAGCUUACCUAAUCAAAUUUGAUCAUAUUUUAGAAGAGGUAAUUCUAACACAUUAAUCCAUUCUUAUUUUUUUUUCACUUCACCGGAAUUGAUUUCGCCCAUGGGAGGGCGAAGUCAAAUUCAUUAUUUUACGUGAACUGAACUUUCGGGCGUAAUAAAAUUACGGUAAAUCAAACAGCGGAAGUGGUUAGUUUUCACCGAAAUUCAUUUUCCCCGUCCCACUUCCACCCCACUUCUCUCGAAACAAACAGGCCCCUUAAUGAACUAACUUGUGUUCGGCUCGUAAACGAAACGAGUCCAACACAAGUCGGCCCAGCUCUCUCGUAUCCGGCUCGUUAACAACCCUAUCACAAGCUGAAAUGGAUUACUUGGGUGAUAUCAAACUACAAAUAGGUUGGAAAGUGGAAGUCACGAAUUUCCAAACCAGACCAGAAUAUGAGUGGACGCAAGCUCAGCCCAAUUGCUAACCUCUAAAAGUGGUUGAAAUUUGAACCUAAUUUCAUUGCUCAUUUGUUUAAUAUUGACUAAUCUUAGGAUUUGUUCUAGCUUGAGUAAAACGGCCAUAGCGUCCAAGGAAAAAUAAAAAAAUGUUAACUUGUUAAGGCUCAUUUGGUAUUAAAGCCUAUUUAAUACUAAUAAAAAAAUUUGAUUGCUUAUUUAUUUUUAAAUAAAAUUAAAAAAUAUAUCGUAACUAUAUUUUUUUAUUAAAUACCAAAACAAAUAGAAUAUUUUUUCAAAUAUUAGCCAAGUCCUUCAAUUAUUGCUUGGACAUUUACAAUAUUUAAUCACUCGUGUUCAAAUCAACUGAUUAUUAGUUACCAAUAGGUGUGAUAGAGAUAUUUAAUUAAUCCUAUAUUUGAUAGAUUCGUUUGGAAAGAAAUAAAUUAUUUUGCAUAUAUAAUAUAUUAUUACAUGUUUUUUUUUUAAAAAAAUUCUAUAGAAAAGUGUAAUCAAACGACUAGAUGCCAUAAUGAUAAUAAAAAGAAUUGGCCAUGUCUUGUCCUUUAUAUAUGCAAAAUAAUUUAAUAUGAUCAAAAUAUUUGAAACUUUUAAAAAGCAUAUUUUGUAGUAUUUCAAAAUUAUAAUAUAAUCUAUCGAAUCAGUAUAAAAUAAACCGUCUAAAUCAAACGGCAUUUCUAAAAUAGGGUGUCUAAUUUUUAAAUUUAAAAUCAGAGUUAUUGAUUUUAUCUAAAUAGUGAAUAUAAUUUUUUAUUAAAAAUUCAAUCAAUUUAAAUUUUCUUACACCAUUAAACUAGUAAGUAUCCACAGUAAAAGUUAAAAAUUGUCAACUUUAAAAUCUUUUAGAUCAUAAGGUAAAUAAUAUCAAAAAAUAUAAAAUUUUAUUUUAAAAAAAAUUUAAAUACUCUAAAUUAUAUUUAACGAUAUAAAUUAUCAAUUUGAAAGAUUUACAUAAAAAAUAUUAUGAGUACGAAGGGAUCGUACUUAUAAGAGUAUAGUAGUUGGACUCUCUCCUCUCGAUCUCUCUCUAUAUAUAUAAUAUAUAUAGAAUCAUACUACUAUACGAAGCGAUAGCCGUACCUGCAAACAAAUAGGAGCUAUAAAAGGAAAUACAACAAUAUAGUAGCUGAACAUAUAUAUAUAUAUAUAUAUAUAUAUAUAUAUAUAUAUAUAGAACUAUAUUAUAUAUUAAAAAAAUUAUUUUUUCACUCGCAAUCGCACAUCUACACCAUGUGCAGGACGUUUACUGCAGGGCUCCAAAUUGGCAGGAUCUUAUUUGUAUACAAAAAUUAAUAGGACAGUGAUGUAUGUAAGUAUGAAUCAUAAUAGGUUAAUUAGAUUAAUUAGGUUAUUAGAUUAGUUAAUUAGUAUAUUAAUGAUAAUAUAUUUUAUAUAGGGCCUAACAGUAGAUAGCAAUACAGUGUGAAUCAUAAUAGGCGGCGAGUAGUGGAAGAAAGGAUAAUAUUAUUUAUUUUUUAUUUGUAACUAUUCAUUAUUUUUUUAAUUUUAUUCUAUUUAUCUAAACGUUAUUUUUUUUAUUUUCGAUAAUAAUUUAAUUUUUUUCUUAAAUACUAAAUUGAUCGAUUCCAAAUUUAACCAUGAACUUAUAACUACCGAAAGUUUUGAAAAGUUGAUAGACAAUUCUCUUAAAAAAAUAAUAAAAUUAAUAUCUUACCGCUGAUUAAGAGAGAUCUUUCUCUCUCUGUCGCCCCCAAAUUCCCAGAUCCGGAAUCACACACUCUCAUUUGCAGAUCCAAGCCCUAGGCCCCUGCUCCAAUGGCGGAGUCGCCCUCGCCCCUCCCGAUUCCCAACGAGCACCACCACGGCACGGCGCUGCUCCGGGAGAUCGCGGUGGACUACUGCCCCGAGGCGUGCGACCACUCCCCGGCGGCGUCGGAGAUCCGCGUCGUCUUCGACCACCGCGGCGGCGCUCGGUGGCGCUCCCGCUCCCGCUUCCGCUUCGGCACGUUCGGCGCCCUCAUCCGCGGCCCCGGCGGCGACACGAGCGGCCUCAACUUCAACCUCUACCUCUCCUCCCUGGAGGGCGACAAGUCCCAGGACGAGAUCGACUUCGAGUUCCUCGGCAACGACCCCUCCGCCGUCCAGACCAACUUCUACACCGCCGGCCUCGGCCGCCGCGAGCGCAUCCACCCGCUCGGCUUCCACGCCGCCGACGGCUUCCACGAGUACCUCAUCAAGUGGGCGCCCCAUCUCAUCGAGUGGCUCGUCGACGGCGCCGUCCUCAGGAGGGAGGAGCGCAGCGCCGCGCACCAGCCCUGGCCCCUCAAGCCCAUGUUCCUCUACGCCUCCGUCUGGGACGCCAGCUACAUCGACGACGGCCGCUGGACCGGCAGCUACGUCGGCUCCGACGCGCCCUACGUCUGCCUCUACCGCGACGUCAGGGUUCCGAUCGACAACGCCGUGGCCGAGGAAGGCGAUGCCGCCGCCGAAGCAGCAGCAGCAGCAGCAGCAGAGGCCGAGAAACAAAAUGUAAGUUGAGAUCUCUCUACCUUCUCUUAUGUCUGAGUCGUAUUCCGGAGGAUUAAAUGCUUCUCUUUGUACAUCAACUUAUUUAAGGGACGAUUAUAGUAUCUUACCUACAUCAUCCCGUUCCUUUUUGUGAUGUUCGAAGAUAUAAUUCAUCAAAAAGUUGAUGUACAAGUAUUUAGAUGCUAUUUGUGUUUUUGAGUUGUUGUUGUUGUUGUUGUUGUUCUUGUUCUUGUUGUAUUGAAUUCUGGUUAGUGACAAUAAUGUGAUUGUUCUGUUGUUGGUUAUCUCACAAUUGCAAUAAGCAAAUUAUGGGCCAUGUUGUGUUCAAAUCUUAAUUCAUUACAACCUCUGGCUUGAUCUUUCUAAAUUUUUGACUAAAUAGUACCGUAGCCCGGAUAUGGGGCAAAAAUGUUGUGGUUGAUGCUGCGAAAAUGACUGAAGUGUUGUGGUGCCAUUGUCGGAUAGGAAUUUGAAUUAAAAAUUAUAAUAAAUUAAAGUUUGAGAAUCAAAGUGACGCCUGCUUUAUAAUGCGAGAAUCAAAAAUAUGAUUUAUCUGUAGAUGUCAGACAACUUUAAAUACCCGUUUUGUGGUUUACUGUAUUUUUAACUUAAUACUUUGUGGUUUUAACUAUAUUGUCUAAGUAACUUAUAGUUUUAUUUUUCGUUGUUUUCUCACGCCUUCGGUGAACUUCUUCGUUAAAACUGUCGCGUGCCAUGCCCGUGCCGCACUCUGCACAUGUAUGUCGUGAAUCGUCGGUUUUUUGCCUUUGUAAGACAUCUCCGACUUUGUGGGGCGGCACGUGACGAUUUUAACGAAAAAGUUAACGGAAGGCGUAACAGAAAAUAAAUAUAGAAAUCACAUGUACUUAAAUAAUGUAGUUAAAACUACAUAAUACAAAACUAAAAAGGUGGUAAAUCACAGGAGAUAUAUGAAGUUUUCCUUAGAUUUAUUAUUAGAUCUGUACACUUUCUCGCUCUUUAACACUCUACAUUAAAUUUCUCGAUUAGCACAACUAGACACUCUUCAUUAAAUUUCUCGAUUCGCACAAGUAGAAUUUCUUUUGUCACCCUUCGGGCCACAGCAAAAGUCCAUCUCGGCUAAAGUGCAUAGACCCGUUGCGUGUACAAGAUCACCCUCCCACACAUGAAACUUCAAUAUUCAACCAAGUUUAUUGCUAUUAUAUAAUGCAAUAUAAUAGAUGAAAUACAAAUUGAUUAGUACCAAGAACAUAAAUAAUACCAACUAACCAAAUUUAAAGUAUUGAAUAUUUAACAUCUAUGCAUCAUUGCCAAAAAUAGAUACAUCUCUAUUUCAUCCUCUCACAAGUUCGGUUCCCAAAAAGCUAACCCCAAGACCAAGGUUGGCCAGCAAGUUAGGUGCAUCCCGUUUCGCCCAACGAACUCUCCUCAAUAGUGCUCCGCCCUCACCGCUAGCCACAAGGAUAUCACAAAUUCUCCCCGAACUUAGUCCAAUACGAGUAUAGCCGAGCGUCUCAUCUCCCCCGCGUUUCGCUCCCACGACUCAACCCGCACGCCGCAAGAGUCAAGGUCCAGACUUCGCAAUAUCGCAUGCCACGAAGAAUACUCAUAAACAUAAAUCCUUAUUUGCCAUCUCGUCUCAUACACCUUGCAGCGUCCACGGUCAUACUGCAUACGCGGUCUGCUUGCUCGCUCCAACGGCAUACAUAUGACAAGCCACCCAAGUGCGUGCUGUAAGCCAGCAUGACUCCCAGGUUCAGCGACUUAACGGGACACCCCACAUGCCUAUGCUUUCAGCGACUUAACGGGACACCCCGCAUGCCUAUGCUUCGCACUUUUUGCUUCGCAUCCAACUCGUAUGAACCGCGUGCCCCAUCGCUCCUAGCGAAAAAAGCCAACAAGCCCACACUGUGCUCUCGACCGCCCACAUGAUCCUCACUUUAUGGUGGUGCUCCGCGCCCUUGAUUUCCAUAGGUUCACAUUAUAAGGCUCCAUGCCAACAAGUCAAGCCUUGCUCCGCAUCGCUAGUCACCUGGCCUCUCCAUGGCUCAGCCAUGCCUGGUCGCUACCACCAUUGGUCUAGACUUCAAAGGUUUACUUUACGGAUGCAGAUACUGCUUGCUUGAUUAGGUUCCGCCUCUCGAGUCUUGUGAGCGCUACGCCCACAAAUCUGUCUUAAUAUAUCUCUAGAUUUGAUAUUAGAUAUUUUCUCUUUCUUGCUCUUUUCCACUUUUCAUUAAAUUUCUGGGUUAGCACAAGCAGAACUUAUCACUCAGGCCAUGUUUGGAUGCUUAGAUAAAAACUUUAUGGAAUUUUUAUUCUAUAGUUUUGGUCUACAUAAAAUACGAAAUUUUGUAACUCCAAAAUUACAGAAUUAGGGUUUAAUCUAUGUUAGAUGUUACUAAAAUUUGAUAAUCGACUUCAGUUCGGAACUUUGACUCGCUGACAGUUUCGCGGUGCGACCAAUUUGAAAAAUAAGUUGUGAAAAAAAAAUAAAUGUCUGUGGUGGAUAGCGGAGGGCUUGGGCUGGUACAGAUCGGAUCAGAUCCGAAACCCAUUAAAAAUUUUUCUUUCUCGUUUUUUAUCACAAAGGCGACAGAUCGUGGUUGGUUGUACUCGAACAUUAUAUUCCCUUUUCGAUAGUGAAGUUUUCUCCUCCCUCGUCCGUGAUUUUUUCCUGCAAAGAAUUUUUCACGUAAAUCUGUGUGUUUUUCUAUUUCUGUUUCUGAUUUGUUUAUUUUGUAUUCGUCAUUUUCGUUUCUGUUUGUGCGUUUGUCGUAACAAUCUAUGUAUUUUAAACUUACAAAAAAGGCAUUCAAAUAUUAUAUUGCAAAAUUUUACUUUAAAAUGCUAAAAGACUCAAAAAAAAAAAAUUCAAUACUCUUAAGAAAGUCCUGUGACUCUUUCCUGUUGGAACUACGGUCCUUUUAUUAAGGAGUUGAUUUGGAAGUGAUUUUAGAGGCUGUUUGGUUAUAUGUAGUUACAACUAUAUUAUAGUUGUAACUGUAUAUAGAUCUAAAUUUGAUAUUUGAUUUUAGAAUUAAUUUCAUACAUGUUCCUAUAAAUAUAGUGAAUUAUAAAUAUAUUCCUACAAAAUUCAACUUUUAUAUGUUGUCCACUUGUCCCUACAAAACUCCUAAUAUUUUCAAAUAUGACCCUUUGGUUUGUUACCGUUAAAGCAUUGGUUAUUUUAUAAGUGAAAUAAUUUUUUUUGCCAUCACAAGUAUGUCCCUCCAAAAAUUCCAACCCUUAAUUAAAAAAGGAUAAAAAUGUCAAUUUACCUCAUUAACUAACUAAGGUCAAGUAUUUUACCUAUGGUUAAUUAUUUUUUUCUAACGGAGAGGCAUAUUUGAAAACAUUAGGACUUUCACAAAACAACAUAUGAAAAUUAAACUUAAUAUAAAUAUAUUUGUAAUUCACUAUAUUUACAAAGAUCUGUAUGCAAUUAAUCCUUAAUUUUAUAUAUUUGAAAUCUAACCAAUCAAAUUUCAAGAAGCCUCAUAAAGUGCUUUCUUAGGAGUUUUUUUUUUUUUUUUUUUUUUGAGAGAGAUAGGUAGCACGCUACUCGCUUCGUUUAUUUCAUUUAGAAAUACACUUAGCUUGAAAUGUGCUUCUUAGGAGUUAAACUUCUAUUUAUCCAUAUUUCUUGGUUGCGCGAGCCGAAUCGGGAGCAAGAGUUGAAGCUGGCGCGGGAACAGUAGGAGCUCCAACUCGCCGAAUAAGCUACCACAAUACCUAUCCUGCUCUUUGGAAAAAUCGAACACAUGAUGUUCCCUUCGAUCUAUUUCUUGAUUUCCCCAUGAAUUGUAUGCUUAUGACAAUAGCAACAUUUUAAAGGUUGGUAUUUUAUGUCCAAUAUCUCGAUCUAAGUAUGGAUGUCGGUAUGGUUGGAAUUGUAUGAGAAAGUUUAAUUGUAACAAUUGAAAUUACGCCUAAAUUGAUUGUAAUUUCAACUGCGGCAGUAGGAAAAGUAAUUUUAAAUAAAAAAUAAGCUUUUGGCCGCAUAUAUACUAUAAUAUAAUUAUUAUUUUUCAAUUGAAUAUGAUCAUACUCAAUAAAAUUAUUUUGUUUACAUCAAAUUAUAUUUGUUUAUAGCAAUAUCACUUUCAGACGCAAAUGGAUUGUCAUUUUCUCCAUUGGUUUAUUGUAGACACACUGAAUUAUUAUUCACUGAUAACCCAGACCAUAUACCUAUCAACUAAUAUUAUUAUUCCAAGAUAAAGGUGUAAAAUGAACCAAAUGAGUAUCUUUCUAUCUUUCUCUAUCUUUGAAAAGAAAAUAUCACCGAUGAUAAUUCAUAAGAACUUAAUAUGCAUGCACGUGAAAGAAAAGUACAAUUUAAGAUUAAGCAGUAUAAUUUAUUUGAAGGGUUAAUUGUAUACAGCUCCCUAUAAAUAUGUCGAAUCGUAAAUAUAUCUCUACAAAAUUUAACUUUUUAUAUUUAUUUCUGUGUAAAUCCUAAUAUUUUUAAAUAUAUCUCCAUUGUUAUGAUCCGUUAGAAAAAUAUGCUUAAUCAGAAGCAAAGUAUUUAAUCAUGAUUAGUGAAUAAGAUAAAUUGAUUUUUUUAUUCCUCUUAUAUAUUUGUGAUGGUGGAAAAAAAAAGAUAAUUGUUGAAAAUUUUUGGAAAGGUAUUUCUGCAUAUUUCUAAUAGUUGGAAUUUUUGUAGAGACGUAUUUGUGAUGGCAUAUCAUUUCACUUAUUUUCUGUUAAAACAUAAAUAAUACUCUAACUGUAACAGAUCAAAGACACAAAUAUGAAUAUCACUGAAUUUUUACAAUAAUAUAUAUAAAAAUUGAACUUUAUAAAAAUAUAUUUACUAUUUGAUAUAUUUACAAGGAGCUGUUUGAAAUUAAUCCUUUGAAAUAGAAUUUUUUGGACGGAACUUAAGAUCUCUCCUCUUGAAGAACAGCAACACCAAGUAUAUGACAAGAUCAAAUCAUCUAACGAAAAUAACUAGCAGUUUAUAGUUUAAAUUGUCUACAACUCCGUGCGUAAAAUUUUUUGGGUACCGAACAAUUUUGCCUCUCAUCUGUGACUAAAUCUGUAAUGAAAUUACCUUUGGAAAAUUUCUGCGCAUGGAAUUGUAAAAGAUAUUCUUUCAAAAUUUGUACUAAAUUAUUGUACUACAGCAGGUUGUGUGAUUAUGAUUGGAGAGAUCUGUUUAUGGAUUCCUUGGAAAAGAAAGGACACUAUCCUACUCCCAUAUGCAAGAGAGCUGAUAGGUUGGAGAUGCCCACCCCACUACUCCUUUUUGCUUGGUGAUGUCAUAAAAGGAGACCUCCCCCAAUCAAAGAAAGAAGUUGGUGGUGCAAAAAUAUACCUACUUCCUUUAUCCCUUAGUACAAAUUUAGGUUUUAAAUUUAAGGUGUGAGUUAUCAAUUAUCAUAUUUUUAGCCUACUGCGUUAGAUAUAGCCGGUCUGAUUUUGAUAUCGUAAGAAAAUUUUGAUUGAAGUUUAUCAAUUUUACUAACUAAAUUUAGUAAAUUUGAUUUAUUUCUAAUAAUGAUGGCUCUAGUACUAUAAUAUUUCUUUCACGCCAAAGAAGCCGCUUCUAUUGAUAAUUGAUAUGGUUGUAUUGAUAUGGAGUAGUUCUAAAGCAUUAUUCAAAUCAUUGCCUUUAUAGAUUGCUAAUAUGCUGGUAUUUUUGAAGUUUGAAAUCGUACAUAAAUUAGCUGGUAGUCUUAUUUAUGUAAUACAGAUCAACUUAUCAUAUGUUGUAUAGGUUUGAAUAGAGGUACCUAGAACAUUUUCUAUUAGGUUGAUUUCAUGGAUGUGCUUGUGGAAAGUAUUCUUUGUGAUAAAUAUAUUCUAUCUAUUGUUUUUUAUAUUAAGUUUUUGCAUUGAACAUUUUCUAUUGGUUUUUAUGUAUGUCAUUGAGAAACAAUUCAAAGAAAAAUGCAGAAUAUAUAUAUUGGCUUAAAUGGACUAGCAUCCUGUCCUGUGACGGGAGGUCAUAUUGGACCGAGUCAUGUUCAAAAUGACGCGAGGCUGUGUGAAUCGAGUCAUGUUCGAAGUGACGUUAGGCUGAUUGAGCCGAGUCAUAAUCGAGAUCCGUGAGCGCUGUAUCUGUACGCUUUAAGGGGCCGUUUGGUUGGAUGUAGUUGCAGAAACAGUGUAGUUGAAAAUACAUGCAGUUGCAAAUGCUGCAGUUAUAACUACACCUAGUUUGUUUGGUUUUACGCAGUUGCAACUGCUGCAGUUACAUUUCUUCUGUUUGGUAAUAUGAAGCUGAUAGUUGUAUUUAUGAAUUUUGUCACCUCUUCAGAUAGAGUGGUGAGGUUACCUUCACUAAACAUAAAAUAAUUGUAUAAAUUUAUUAAUUAUUUAAAUUUACUAUUUAUAAAUAAAUAAGUAGAUAUAUAUAAUAUUUUUAUAUUUUUCAAUAAUUCUUCAACUUAUUAAUCGACACAUUUAAAAUUUUUAAUUUAUUUAAUUUUAAUAUGUAAAUCAAACUUUAAAAAUUUAAACGAUUCUCUCAUUUUUUUUUUAUCAAAUUUAAUAAUUAUAAUUAAUUAAAACUUAUUAAAUUAACAUACACGAUCACAUUCUAUAAAAAUUUAGGGAAAAAAAACUAUAUUUAUAUUUUAAAUAAAAUAAAUUUAAAAAAAUUAAUUUUUUGCACAAAGCUUGUAUUGUCUAAAAAAUUUUAUUAGUAUGAGUUUAUUUAUAAGUAUUUUUAUUUACCUAUAUACAUAUAUUAUUUAUUUAUUUAGCUAUUUAUUUAUUUAUUUAUUAUUGUUAAUUUGUUGGUGAUCCUAUCCCUCACCAACUGCUGCAGUUGAAACUACGACCAAUUUGGAUGUAGUUCCAACUGCAGCAUUUGGGUCUUCUUGUGCAGUUGGAACUGCAGUAGUUGAACUCAAUUACACUAAACCAAACAAAAAAAUUGUGGCUGCACGCAUUUGCAACUGCACUACAGUUGCAAAUGCGUACAACCAAACAGCCCCUAAAUGAAUUGAUUACGUAUUUCUAAACUCGAGCUUUUGGGAUUAAUAAUUAGUGCCAAUGAUUCGACAAGUGGUAUCAGAGCCAGAGGUCACAGGUUCGAUUCCUAUGCUGGAGGGGGGAUUGUUGGCAUCCUAUCCUGUGGUGUGAGAAAAUUUAAAGAAGUAUAGCACUUAACUUGGCUCUUCUAGUAUUUAAUUUGUUGCUAUUUCUUGCACAUAUUGUACAUCCUGUCCUGUGGUGUUAGAUAACUACCAAUAUUCUCAUUUUAUUUAAAAAUAAUGAGAAGAAAAAAAUUAAUUAGUAAAUACUAAGCGACCUAUUUUAUAAAAUUAUCUAAUUUGAAGAAAAAAAAUAUUACUCAUUUUCACUAUUUCUAACUAUAUAAGGCUAUAUAUACCAAUGCAACUUAUGCAUAACAUAUUGAUGAAAUAGUAAAAAAGCUGGAUUAAGUGAUAUAACUUUAAAUCUUUAGAAGGCAAAAUAAAAUUUUUUAAAAGAUUAAGAGAUAAGAUAAAAAAAGGAAUAUUUAUGUUUAAAUUUUUCAGCAUUUUUGCCGUAAAAAAGUAGUGGUAAAAACGCCCACAAUUUAUCUUAAUUGUGGACUAUUUUAAGUUCACUAUCCAACCUUUGAAUUUUUUUUAUUUGAAUUAAUUAUUCAAUUGCAUUUUUAUUCUAAAAUUUGAACGCAUCGAUCAUUUAUCUCUACAGAUUAUUUAAUAUACUAUAUGUAAUUCUUGUAAUUAUAAACUAAUUAAAAUAAAAAUUAGCUUAAAUUUUAAAGUUAAAAUAUUAUUAUUGAGAAUUAAAAAUUAAAUAAAAAUUAAAAAAGAAGUUGAACUCUUUUGUUUUUUAAACCAAAAUUCUUAUAUUAAUUGGAUACGCCAAAAUAAAUUAUUGAUGAUUCGAUGUGAUUUGCUGCACCUCUACAAUGUUAACACCCCGACCGUGAAUCACGUGGUUUGAUGUACUCGACACACCAAUCAAUUUUUCUGAGUUAAUAAUAAAUAAUAAAUUUCCACUAACGUUAUGAACGAGUAGUUGGCUAUUCUUUUUUUAAAAAAAGUGGGUGGCCAAUUUUUGUACCAUUAUUUUUUAGGUUAGUUGCGUAAUUAAGCUAAAAGAUAUUAAUUUUUUUUAGCUUAAUGCUAAGAGGUUCUAUUGUCUUUUAAUUCUUUUAUUAAUUUUUUGGAAUAUCUCUUUAUGUUAUUAUUAUUAUUAGGGAAAACUUCAAAAACCCCCCUGUGGUUUCACACUUUUUCAUUUUAGUACCCUGUGGUUUGAAGUGUAUCAAGUUAGUACCCUGUGGUUUCUCACUUUAUCACUUUAGUACCCUGUGGUUUAAAAUGUAUCAAGCUAAUACCCUGUGGUUUUGCACUUUAUCACUUUAGUACCCUGUGGUUUCACACUUUAUCACUUUAGUACCUUGUGAUUUAAAAAACUAUAGGGUACUAACUUGAUACAAAAUUAAAACCACAGGGUACUAAAGUGAUAAAGUGCAAAACCACAAGGUACUAACUUGAUACACUUUAAACCACAGGGUACUUAAGUGAUAAAGUGAGAAACCACGGGUACUAACUUGAUACAUUUUAAACCACAGGGUAUUAAAAUGAAAAAAAUUGAAACCACAAAGGGGGUUUUUGAAGUUUUCCCUUAUUAUUAUUCUAAUGAAUCCUCUGUAUCAUUAUAAGCCAGUGUUUCUCCCAUUCUCUCACUACUUGCUCUUAAUUUAGUCCUCCUUAAUGCCCCUCUUCCAGCAAGAAGAAUCAACCUUUGGGAAUAUGGCUUAAUUUUGUGAAAGAUUCCCGGAUCUCUCGCAAAAAAUGAACAUUAUUGAGACACAUUAAUUUGGUUCCGGAUUCCUAUAAUCAUUGAUAUUGGCCCCAUCUAACAAUACUAGGUAGAAUAAAAUUAGAGCAGAUAAAUAUAGAAUAUAUUUAUAUAUUUUUCGAUGAAACCACGAAAAGUAUAUCAUUAGUUAUUUAUUAUGAUAUAUGAAACACAAUAUUACAAACCAAAAAUAAUCAAAAAAAAAAAAAAAAAUUUACCGUACUUUCUCACUCACCACACAUAGAUUACUUUUCUAUUGGUCUAUUUAGUAGCUAGGACUGUUGAUGCACCUCGAGUACUUCAAAUGCACGAUUUUUGUAAAAUUUUUUGAUUUGUGUAUAAUUCUUUCACAUUAUAAAUGUCAAUACGUCAACAACAGUAUUAUUAUUAUUUUUUUUUUUAAGUUCGGAGAGACACUGGAGCACAGCAGUCCGUACUCAUUCGACACCACUUGCACAUGUGCACAAAAUAAGCUCUAAGUCUGAUCUAUUAAUGUGCAAAUACAGCUUUAUGUAUGGCAAUUUCCAAAUUUCUGGGAGAAGAACAAACGGUCAAACUGAAUCCGCUGAAUCCAAACAGAGACGGGGUAAAUAAAGAGAAACAACAACAAGAACAAUGUCGCCAAAACAUUUCUUUUCCAAAACAUUUAUUUUCUUCUCUUUUUUUUUUUCCAGUAUAGAAAAGUUCAAAUCAUAAGUAUAAUAAUAUAUAAUGCGCGCGUCCUCUCGGAUAAACAUCAAUUGCCAUAAGUAGGAAACACUAACAUUCGAAAACAAUCAAGAGAAACUAGAGUACCGAGCUCUUGUAGGCAAUCGCACUUUGUAGAUAAAAAUAGGAAAAGAGCAAUACAAACCUGGGAUUACAGAGCACAAAUGAUAUUUGUACGAGAAAACAGCUCAGCUUGGAAACAGUCUGAACAUUUGAACGAGCGAGCGAGCGAGCGAGCGAGCUUAGGACCGAUGCUGCUGAUACCCCGCAUUACAGAGAGGGAGGGUCUUUCUUACGUACGUACGUACAGAGGAGGAGGAGGAGGAGGAGGAGGAGCAGAGCAAGUGAUGAUUAUUAUUUCUGUACAAAUUAAAACAGGGGAGGCAGGAGGAGGAGGAGGAGGAGGAGGAGGAGGAGGGAGUAAUUGUGUUGUGGUGUUGUGGAUCAAUGGAGGUCGUAGAUGUUGGGGUCGGCGGCGUAGGAACCGAGGAUGCGGACGAAGACGGAGAAGCGGGAGAUGUCGUCGAUGGCGUCGCGGACGUUGGGGUCGUGGGCGGAGCCCUCGCAGUCGACGUAGAGGACGUGGGGGAAGGCGCGGAGGGAGCCGCGGCCGCGCACGUCGAGGAUCAUGACGGGGGCGGCGCCCUCGGCGGGCGAGUUGAUCACCUCCAGCUUGGUCAGGUUGAUGUUGCGCCUGGAGAAGGCGGACAGCACCCUCAGCAGCACCACCAUCGACCCCCCGCGGUGGGCGAUCACCAUGCUCGUCUUCUUCUUCUUGCUGCUCUUGUUGUUGUUGUUGUUGUUGUUGUUGUUGCUCCCGUCGCAGCGGUGGUGAUCAUGAUCAUGGUGGUGGUCGUCUUUGGAGAGCAUGAGGAAGCGGGUGACGUUCCAGGACUCGUCCUGGAGGCCGUGGGCGAGGACGUCGAGGCCGUAGAGGAGGGCGGCGCGGGGGCUGGCGAUGGCGGCGGUGUCGAGGAGGCGGCGGGAGCGGAGCAUCUCGACGGCGCCGGCGGUGUCCUCGACGGGCUCGCGGCGGAGGCCGAGGAGGGAGAGGGCGCGGCCGCAGUGGGCGAGGGCCAUCGGGUGGCUGAUCACGCGCCGGAGCUCGGCGGGGCGCACCCCGGGCAUGGCCAGCAGGCAGUAAUGCACGAACAGGCUGAUCUCCCGCACGAUCCGCAGGUCGUGCCGGAGCAGCAGGUCGUAGUUCCGCAGCGCCGUCCCCUCCAUCGUGCUUUCCACCGGCACGAUCGCCCGGUCCGCCGCCCCCCGCUCCACCGCCGCGAUCGCGUCCGCGAACGCCCGGCACGGCACCGUCUCGCACUCCGGGAACGCCGUCUUCGCCGCGAACUCGCUGUACGCGCCCCGCGCCCCCUGGAACGCCACGCGCAGCCGCUCCAUCUGCGCCGCCUCCGCCGCCCACCCGUCGAUCCCCGGCGCUGACGCCGCCGCCGACCCGUUGAUCCCCGGCGCCGCCGCCGACCCAUUGAUCCCCGGCGCCGCCGCGGCCACCACCGCCGCCGCCAUGUGCGAGGCUUUGCGAGAUCUACCGGAGCCGAAGAGGAAGACCUGCCGCUGCUGGUGGUGCAGCUUCUUCUCCCCGUUCCACCCCGCUGCCGCCGCGGCGGUGGCGGUGGAGAAGGGAUUGGGGAGAGCGCACGCCAUGGCGAUGGCGAAUUUUGGGGGGAUUUUGGGGAGAAGAAGAAGAAGAAGAAGAAGAAGAAGAAGAAGAAGAAGGGGGAUGAUGGAGAGAAUGGUGGUUGCGUUUGGGCGACUUUGGGGAAUUGUUUAAUAAGGCGACUCCGCGGGUAUAAAGGACAAAGAAGAGGGGUUCGGAAGAUGAAAAGGUGCGGGGUUAUUAUUUUGACGAUUUUGCCCCUGACUGAAUUUUAUACUGCCACACUUGCACCACGUCAAUAAUAACAAGCCAAUCACAUUUCUUCAUUUCAAAUUAAAGUAUGAUAAAAAUAUUUUUUAUAAUUAUGAUUGGACAUAUAUUUUUAAAGAAGAUAUUUGAUUGGUGUUACGUUACGUCACUAAUAUAGCCGUUAUAUUCUAGAAUUUUUCGUGGAUUGGUGGGUGACUUGGCGCGGAAGCUUAUUACCGCUCAAUGAUGCAGCGGCUGCCGCUGCUGCUGAUAAGGGAUGGGCCGACGCCUGUGAUAAGCCCAUAAAUAAAGCAGGCUCGACCUAUAUUUUCAUUAGGGAUGCAAACGGAUCCGGGUUGGUGGAGCUCCCGUCCCGAUCCGCCCCGACGGGGAGAGUAAAUGGGAGAAAAUAAAUUGAUUCGGGGCAGAAAACGGGGCAAGUUUUACGAUCCGAGACGGAUUCGGGGCAGGAAACGGGAAAAUUUUUGACCCGCUCCGAAUCCGCCCCGAAUCCGUCCCGCCAUGAUCCGCCCCGAAUCCGCCCCAAAUAUCAUUUGCAUUUUUUAAAAAUAUUUCUAAAAAAUAAUAUAUUUACAAAAAAAGUUCAAAAUACAAAUAAGUUAUUACUCUCAUUUCUAAUGAAUUUGAAACAUUUGAAUUUUGUUUUGAAUUGUGAUUCAUAUUUUUAAUUUUUACCAUUAAUAUUGUUAAAUUAUAUAUAUAAUAUUAUUAAAAAUUAUUAUUUUAUAUUUUUUAAAAUAUUAAUAAUAUUAUAAUUUUAUAAAAAAUAUUAGUUGGCGGGGCGGAUUCGGGGCGCCGGCGGGAGGCGGGUUACGAGGCGGGGCGGAUUAUGGGAUGUAUUUUUUAACCCGUCACGGAUUCGGGGCGGGAGGCGGGGCGGAUUUUUGCUAGUCGGGGCGGGAGGCGGGGCGGGUCUCCCGC
rnacentral:lncRNA from 1 species